UAAUUUUACCUGGUCAUACACCAAAUGGACGGGGAUCACUUUCCCAUCAGACUCCACAAGUCUGACCUCGGCCAUGUGGUUCGGGUCAGCCUUGGUAUAUCGAGUCUUCACCAUGGCCCAGGCUUCCCUUGCACCUUGUCGGCAGGCAGAUAUCUUCCAUAAUCGGAAGCGCCACCGCGCUCCCUUGAGCAUCUCUACGAGCCCCCCAUGCCUCCUGACAGGGAGGCGGAUGGCCACAAGGCCUGGGCAAUGCCCUGCAUCACCUGCCGAACUUAUUCGUGCAGUUUUGAGAGCUCUGGCAGAAGAUCACUUGCAGACCCGGGCAUCUCCUCUCCGGGACAACCCGUCAGCAUACCUACAGAUAUAACUCUGUUAGCCGGUUUCUUCGCCGAACUCUAUAAAAGUUUGUUCAAGCACUUACUAAAAAUGCCGUGUCGAAGCUCCUUAUUCUCCUUUACGGAGUCAGCUAGCUGGGCCCGAACAUCUUUCAGUUCAACACCCAGCCGGGUAUUGGCAUCUUGGAGAUCGUUUUUCUCCCGCCUAACCCACGUAAGCACGCCCUCGCCAGCCUCUAGCUGUCGUUGAGCAUGUUGCUCAUCCCCUCGCAUGACCUUCGGAUUCACUCCGGGAUCAUCUGCAGAAUCUAUUAUUAGAUUUGCAUGCAUGCCGAAUACUAACUGGUAUAUGUCAUUCUUUUCGAUAGGAACAAGUGUUACCAGAUGGGGCCUUCUUGGACUCCUUCAUUGUGGCAACUGCGGCCCGUAGCUGGGCUUUGCACUCCUCCAGCUCUUGAGACAACUGGGUAUUCUUCUCCGUAAUAACCUACGCACAUAAUGAUCCUUAAAUCAGUUGUGCCAACUGUUUCAAGUCUCAGGGGCUACUGAUAUACAUAAUUAUCAGAUUUUCUUACCCGUAUAUCCUUUACAUACUGGUCCGUGGCUCUGGCAAGACCAUUUUGAGCAGCUCGGAUGUACGCAUCUCCUGAGUUGAAGGCAUCGAACGCCUCUUCAGAGAAACCAGGGUCGCGGAGUACAGCCCGGCGACGCCUGUGAUUCAUGGCACUCUCCACUUCAGAAUUCGUAGCGGACAGCCUAUCCGCAUCCUUUGUAGGAGGAACAUCCGAUGUUGUCCCCACGUUAGCAUCUGCCUCUAAGUCCGGCUCUGGAGCCCGGCUGGUGGAGGCGUGGCCGGCAGGCUCUCCGGAUACAGUCCGGCGAGCGUUUUUCCUGCCAGGAACCAUGGACGUUAUUAUAUUUUAAAGACGACAACCACGGAGCAGGGUUCUUUUCCAUACCUCUGCGACGGUGUCUCCGUCCUGAUCGCCUUCCUUUUAAGCCUACCCGGCUUCAGUGCCCCUUGUUGGUGAGUCACCGCGGGUUCUGCAUGGCGUCCCGAGGGCCUUCCCUGUAAGACACCAUAUGUGUGCGGUGGGUGAAGUGCAAAAAAGGGAUCCUUCUCGGAAGUUGGGACUCCGGUUUUACUUACAUGCGAUGCAGGGAGCAGUCCAGGAUAAUCGGCUAUGAUGGCCACCAAGGCACCAUCGCAGCUUAACUGAUAGAACGUCCUGUCGAUAAGCUCCACAAAUAUGUCCGGAUCUUCUUCGAGUCCGGGGUCGAGGGCCCGGUCAGGGUCCUCUGGCUGUGGAGACGGGCUGUGGACCUCCUCACAGCUUUUCGCAGUUCUUGCUAUGAAAUAGCAAGGUAAAUAUUUAUGACGAAGAAUGCGGGAAGGUCUGGAGUAAAAAGUAGCAGCUCACCCAGUUUGGGGGGUUGUACAUGGAGAAUCCAUCCCGUGGCUUAAUGCGGAUGAGCUCCUCUUCCUCUCCUUUAUAUAAAUCGGACAGUAUUUUCGCUAGAGCAGCGGCGGAGUCCGGACCUUUACGGCCGCAGCAAGUGGCAUCGUCUUCUCCAUUGAAGUGCCACAUGGGUUGUCCCCGAUAUUGAAGUGGCUGCACCCCCCGCAUUAUACAUAUUGGCAUAACCUCGAUUAUUGUCAGUCCUGAUUUGGCCAGCGUUUUUAUCCGGCCCAUCAGGUAAAGGACCUCUCUGUUAUCUUCCUCCUGGGGGCUCCGAGGGCGCUAGCUGCGACGUUUCUUCAAAGGGGCGUCAUUAAACUCAGGAAGGCCCAUCCGAAUAGGGUCCGGAAGGGGGACGUCCUCCAUAUAAAACCCCUCUGAAGGCCAGUCUUCGGAUGUCUUCUUCGGAGUACCGGACAGGUAUCCGGUCCCGGCGAUGCGCCAUAUUUCGGCUCCGCCCACUUGAUAUAUUGACCCCUCCUGUGUAUGGGGUACGAGGCAGAAUAGCCUCUUCCAUAGCUCGAAAUGAGCUUCGCAGCCCAGAAACAGUUCGCAAAAGGCGACGUAGGCAGCGAUGUGUAAUAUGGAGGCGGGAGUAAAGUUAUGCAGCUGGAGGCCGUAGAACUCCAGGAGCCCCCGGAGGAACGGAUGGAUUGGAAAUCCGAGUCCCCUUAAUAAGUAAGGGACAAGGCAUACCCGCUCCCCCAUGGAUGGGUUGGGAAAGCUCUCCGCUUGCUCCCUGCCAUUGUAAGUGGCUAGUCCGGCUCGGACGGGGACCAUAUAUGCAGGAGGGAGAAACCCCUGGGUCUGUAACUCUACUAAUUGGCUGUGGGGGAUGGAACACUUCUCCCAAUUGCCUGGCUUAGUGCUACGGGAGCGAGGGGAGGAGCUGCGAUGGCCGACCAUGAUGGGAUGGACUUUUUCGGGCGCGCUCCGAUGGAUACUCGCUGUGGGAGGAUGGUGUGAUCUGGAUAUGAGGAUCCCCGACUCUUUAAAUAGACGAUUUACUCACAUGGUUAGGGUGGAAAAUGUAAAAAUGCCCCGACUUCUCGCAUUCGCUCGACACGUGGAAGAUAGCCAUUAUUAGGCGCAGAAGCCGAGGAGUGCAACAUUCAUGGGAAGCCGGACACUACUCGACAGGUACUCAGGAUUUGGAGAAGAACCCGCCUUGCAAUGCCGAAGACAAUCUGCGCACCGGACUCAUCGUCAUUGAAGCUUGGUUCAGGGGCUACUGAGGGAGUCCUGGAUUAGGGGGUCCUCGGACAGCCGGACAUAUACUUUGGCCGGACUGUUGGACUAUGAGGAUACAAGAUUGAAGACUUCGUCCCGUGUCCGGGUGGGACUCUCCUUUGCGUGGAAGGCAAGCUUGGCAAUUCGGAUAUGUAGAUCUCCUCCCUUGUGACCGACUCUGUGUAACCCUAGCCCCCUCCGGUGUCUAUAUAAACCGGAGGGUUUAGUCCAUAGGACAAGAACAAUCAUAAUCAUAGGGUAGCUUCUAGGGUUUAGCCUCUUCGAUCUCGUGGUGGAUCAACUCUUGUAAUACUCAUACCAUCAAGAUCAAUCAAGCAGGAAGUAGGGUAUUACCUCCAUCGAGAGGGUCCGAACCUGGGUAAACAUUGUGUCCCCCGCCUCCUAUUACCAUCCGCCUUAGACGCACAGUUCGGGACCCCCUACCCGAGAUCCGCCGGUUUUGACACCGACAAUAAGCGUCAAGAAAUGUCUAUGAAUUAUUCACUUGCUGUUGAACCAUUUGAUGUUUGGGGAUUUGAUUACAUGGGACCUUUUCCUUCCUCUAAUGGGUAUACACAUAUUUUGGUUGCUAUUGAUUAUGUUACUAAAUGGGUAGAAGCUAUCCCAACCAGUAGUGCUGAUCACAACACCUCUAUUAAAAUGCUUAAGGAAGUUAUUUUCCCAAGGUUUGGAGUCCCUUGAUAUUUAAUGACUGAUGGUGGUUCACACUUUAUUCAUGGUGCUUUCCGUAGAAUGCUUGACAAGUAUGAUGUUAACCAUAGAAUUGCAUCACCUUAUCAUCCUCAGUCUAGUGGUCAAGUCGAACUUAGCAAUAGAGAAAUAAAAUUAAUUUUGCAAAAGACUGUCAAUAGGUCCCAGAAGCAUUGGUCUAAGAAUUAGAUGAUGCACUUUGGGAUUAUAGAACAACAUAUAAAAAUCCUAUGGAUAUGUCUCCUUAUAAAAUGGUUUAUGGAAAAGCUUGUCAUUUGCCUCUUGAGUUAGAACAUAAGCCAUAUUGGGAUAUUAAAGAACUCAACUAUGAUUUCAAACUUGCAGGUGAAAAGAGGUUAUUUGACAUUAGCUCAUUAGAUGAAUGGAGAACCCAAGCUUAUGAAAAUGCCAAGUUAUUAAAAAAGUUAAAAGAUGGCAUGAUAAAAGAAUUCAAAAGCGUGAGUUCAAAGUUGGAGAAUAUGUUCUUCUGUACAACUCUCGUUUCAGAUUCUUUGCAGGAAAACUCCUCUCCAAAUGGGAAGGACCCUAUGUUAUCGACGAGGUUUAUCGGUCUGGAGCUAUCAUGAUAAAUAAUGCCGAGGGUACUAACCCGAAGGUUGUUAAUGGGCAACGAAUAAAACAUUAUAUCUCAGGUACGCCCAUUAAUAUUGAAAGUAAUAUUAUUCAAACUAUGACACUGGAAGAACACAUAAAAGAAUCCUUCCGGAACACUCCAGAAUCGUGAAAAAAGAGGAGGUACGUGAUACGGUAAGUAAACGGACUCCAAAAUAUUUUCUGUCGGUUUUGGAAUAUAACAAAAAUUAGGAAAAUAAGAAUCAACCAGGAAGGUCGCCCUGGUGGGCACAAGACACCAGGGCGUGCCUGGCUUGCCAGACGCGGCCAGGUGGGUUCUGCCCACCUCGGGUACCUUCCGGACUUCGUUUUUCUACUGUUUGCUUGUUUCCCAAGAUAAAAAAAUUCUUUAUAUACCCCCCGAACCUAUUGACCACCGUAUCACGGAGAAAUCUUCUGUUUUCUUUUCCUUGCCAUUUUCUGUCAGAUCCCAUCUACCAUGACCGCUUCAAGUUCCUCCGAGGACAAGAUCGCCUCUACUUCAUCACCACCACCUUCUUCAUCACCAAAAGAAAACUAAGUAUCGGGUAUGGUCACUCCCCUUGGCUUCCGCCAAGCUUGGGGGAGGUUGAUACGUCUCCAACGUAUCUAUAAUUUAUGAAGUAUUCAUGCUAUUAUAUUAUCUGUUUUGGAUGUUUAUGGGCUUUAUUAAACACUUUUAUAUUAUUUUUGGGACUAACCUAUUAACCCAGAGCCCAGUGCCAGUUCCUGUUUUUUCCCUUGUUUCAGUGUUUGGAAGAAAAGGAAUACCAAACGGAGUCCAAACGGAAUGAAACCUUCGGGAGAAGUUAUUUUUGGAAAGAAAGCAAUCCAGGAGACUUGAAGUGCACGUCAGGGGAUCAACGAGGAGAGCACAAGGCAGGGGGGCGCGCCCACCCCCUGGACGCGCCCUCCACCCUCGUGGGCCCCUCGUGGCUCCCCCUACCGACUUCUUUCGCCUAUAUAUAUAUCCAUAUAGCCUAAAACCUUCGGGGAGCAUAAUAGAUUGGGAGUUCCGCCGCCGCAAGCCUCUGUAGCCACCAAAAACCAAUCGGGACCCUGUUCUGGCACCCUGUCGGAGGGGGGGAUCCCUCACCGGUGGCCAUCUUCAUCAUCCCGGCGCUCUCCAUGACGAGGAUGGAGUAGUUCACCCUCGGGGCUGAGGGUAUGUACCAGUAGCUAUGUGUUUGAUCUCUCUCUCUCUCUCGUGUUCUUGAGGUGGUACGAUCUUGAUGUAUCGCGAGCUUUGCUACUAUAGUUGGAUCUUAUGAUGUUUCUCCCCCUCUACUCUCUUGUAAUGGAUUGAGUUUUCCCUUUGAAGUUAUCUUAUCGGAUUGAGUCUUUAAGGAUUUGAGAACACUAGAUGUAUGUCUUGCCGUGCUUAUCCGUGGUGACAAUGGGAUAUCACGUGAUCCACUUGAUGUAUGUUUUGGUGAUCAACUUGCGGGUUCUGCCCAUGAACCUAUGCAUAGGGGUUGGCACACGUUUUCGUCUUGACACUCCGAUAGAAACUUUGGGGCACUCUUUGAAGUACUUUGUGUUGGUUGAAUAGAUGAAUCUAAGAUUGUGUGAUGCAUAUCGUAUAAUCAUACCCACGGAUGCUUGAGGUGACAUUGGAGUAUCUAGGUGACAUUAGGGUUUUGGUUGAUUUGUGUCUUAAGGUGUUAUUCUAGUACGAACUCUAUGACAGAUCGAACGGAAAGAAUAGCUUCAUGUUAUUUUACUACGGACUCUUGAAUAGAUCGAUCAGAAAGAAUAACUUUGAGGUGGUUUCGUACCCUACUAUAAUCUCUUCGUUUGUUCUCUGCUAUUAGUGACUUUGGAGUGACCCUUUGUUGCAUGUUGAGGGAUAGUUAUAUGAUCCAAUUAUGUUAUUAUUGUUGAGAUAACUUGCACUAGUGAAAGUAUGAACCCUAGGCCUUGUUUCCUAGCAUUGAAAUACCGUUUACGCUCAAUUUUAUCAUUAGUUACCUUGCUGUUUUUAUAUUUUCAGAUUACAAAAACCUAUAUCUACCAUCCAUAUUGCACUUGUAUCACCAUCUCUUCGCCGAACUAGUGCACCUAUACAAUUUACCAUUGUACUGGGUGUGUUGGGGACACAAGAGACUCUUUGUUAUUUGAUUGCAGGGUUGUUUGAGAGAGACCAUCUUCAUCCUACGCCUCCCACGGAUUGAUAAACCUUAGGUCAUCCACUUGAGGGAAAUUUGCUACUGUCCUACAAACCUCUGCACUUGGAGGCCCAACAACGUCUACAAGAAGAAGGUUGUGUAGUAGACAUCAAGCUCUUUUCUGGCGCCGUUGCCGGGGAGGUGAGUGCUUGAAGGUAUAUCUUUAGAUAUUGCAAUCGAAUCUUUUUGUUUCUUGUUUUAUCACUAGUUUAGUCUAUAAAAGAAAAUUACCAAAAAAAUGGAAUUAAGGGUGCCUCAUAUGCUUCAUCUUUUUAAUGUCUUUCGUGAAAAUGAUGGGAAGGAAAAUUGUGCUCAAGUGCUAGAAGAAGAAAUCUAUAAAAAAUUUGGUACUAAAUCUUUUUAUGAUGAGCAUGAUUGCAAUGUUCUUAGUAUGAAUUCUUUGAAUAUCUAUGAUGCUAAUGAUAUGCAAAGCCACAAGCUUGGGGAUGCUAUGUUUGAUGAAGAUGAUAUUUUUUGUCCCCCAAGUUUUGAUGAGCAAAUUUAUUAUGAUGAAAGCAUGCCUCCUAUUUAUGAUGAUUAUUGUGAUGAAACGUAUGCUAUAAAGAACAAAGAUAACCAUACAACUUGUCAUGAUUAUGAUUACCCUUUUUCUGAACAUUACUCAUUUAAUGUGGAAAUAAUUUAUAGUAUUCGAGUCUCUUAUGAUAGUCUCACUAUUCCGAAUGAGAAGAAUUUUGCUUAUGUGGAGAGUAGUAAAUUUUCUAUGCAAGUAGAUCAUGAAAAGAAUGCUUUAGGUGCUGGUUAUAUUGUUGAAUUAAUUCAUGAUUCUACAGAAAAUUAUUAUGAGGGGGGAAUGUAUGCUUUAGGAAUUGCAAUAAUAUCAAGUUUCCUUUCUAUGUGCUUAAAAUCUUGAAGUUAUGCUUGUUUUACCUUCCUAUGCAAGUUGAUUCUUGUUCCCAUAAGUUGUUUGCUCACAAAAUCCCUAUUCAUAGGAAGUGGGUUAGACUUAAAUGUGCUAGUCAUAUUCUUCAUGAUGCUCUCUUUAUGUUUCAACUCUUAUCUUUUAUGCGAGCAUCAUUGAAAUCAUCAUGCCUAGCUAGGGGCGUUAAACGUUAGCGCUUGUUGGGAGGCAACCCAAUUUUAUUUUAGUUUCUUGUUUUUUGGUUCUGUUUAGGAAUAAAUAAUCUAUCUAGCCUCUGGUUAGAUGUGGUUUAUGUUUUAAUUAGUGUUUGUGCCAAGUAAGACCUAUAGGAUCUUCUUGGAUGAUAGUUAUUUGAUCUUGCUGAAAAUUCCAGAAACUUUCUGUUCACGAAAAUAAUUGUUUAAAAUCACCAGAACGUGAUAAAAUAUUGAUUCCAAUUGAAGCAGAUCAAUAAUCAAAUUAUCUAGGUCGUCCUAUUUUGGUAGAAUUUUUUGUGUUCCAGAAGUUUGCGUUAGUUACAGAUUACUACAGACUGUUCUGUUUUUGACAUAUUCUGUUUUUCGUGCGUUGUUUGUUUAUUUUGAUGAAUCUAUGGCUAGUAAAAUAGUUUAUAAACCAUAGAGAAGUUGGAAUACAGUAGAUUUAACACCAAUACAAAUAAAGAAUGAGUUCAUUACAGUACCGUGAAGUGGUGUUUUGUUUUCUUUCGCUAACGGAGCUUACGAGUUUUCUGUUGAGUUUUGUGUUGUGAAGUUUUCAAGUUUUGGGUAAAGAUUCGAUGGACUAUGGAAUAAGUAGUGGCAAGAGCCUAAGCUUGGGGAUGCCCAAGGCACCCCAAGGUAAUAUUCAAGGAUAACCAAGAGCCUAAGCUUGGGGAUGCCCCGGAUGGCAUCCCCUCUUUCAUCUUCGUUCAUCGGUAACUUUACUUGGAGCUAUAUUUUUAUUCACCACAUGAUAUGUGUUUUGCUUGGAGCGUCAUUUUAUUUUCUUUAGAUUUGCUUGCUGUUUGAAUAAUAUCCCAAGAUCUGAAAUUCUUAAAUGAGAGAGAGUCUUCACAUAGCUACAUAAUUAUUUAACUACUCAUUGAUCUUCACUUAUAUCUUUUUAGAGUAGUUUGUCAUUUACUCAUGUGCUUCACUUAUAUCCUAUGAGUAAAUGGUUGAAUGAUUUGAAUGUCAUAAAUCUGAAAUUAUAUAUGUUUCAUAUGCUUAUCCCAUGGGGAGUAAUGCCUUUACAUAUAAGAAGUAGAGGUGGUAAAUUUAUUGAAGGUUAGCAAACAUUGUAUUGGUCACUUGAAUAUUGAAGGAAGAGAGAUUUCACAUAUAAAUAUACUAUCUUGGACAUCUUUUGUAAUUGUGAGUACUCAUUAAAAUAUGACAUGCUAAAAGGUUGAUGUUGGACAAGGAAGACAACGUAAUGGGUUAUGUUUUAUUAUAUCCGAAAUGAAGUAUAUUGUCAUGGAUCGCCCAACACGUUGAGCUUGCCUUUCCCCCUCAUGCUAGCCAAAUUCUUUGCACCAAGUAGAGAUACUACUUGUGCUUCCAAACAUCCCUUAAACCAGUAUUGCCAUGAGAGUCCACCAUACCUACCUAUGGAUUGAGUAAGAUCCUUCAAGUAAGUUGUCAUCGGUGCAUGCAAUAAAAAUUGCUCUCUAAAUAUGUAUGAUCUUUUAGUGUGGAGAAAAUAAGCUUUAUACGAUCUUGUGAUAUGGAAGCAAUAAAAGCGACGGACUGCAUAAUAAAGGUCCUUAUCACAAGUGGCAAUAUAAAGUGACGUUCCCUCGCAUUAAGAUUUUGCGCAUCCAACUAUAAAAGCGCAUGGCAACCUCUGCUUCCCUCUGCGAAGGGCCUAUCUUUUACUUUUAUGCAAGAGUCAUGGUGAUCUUCACCUUUCCUUUUUACAUUUUAUCCUUUGGCAAGCACAUUGUGUUGGAAAGAUUCUGAGAUAUAUAUCCAAUUGGAUGUAAGGCAUCAUGAGCUAUUAUUGUUGACAUUACCCUUGAGGUAAAAGGUUGGGAGGCGAAUCUAUAAGCCCCUAUCUUUCUCUGUGUCUGAUUAAAACUUUGAACCCAUAAAUAUCGCGUGAGUGUUAGCAAUUGUGAAAGACUAAAUGAUAGUUGAGUAUGUGGAGUUUGCUAAAUCAAACUCUGACAUAGACUCUUCCUGAAAAUAAGAUGAAUUGUAAUUGUUUGAUGACUAACAACACGGUUUGUUAGUUUUCAAGAAAGUUUAUGAUCUAUACUUUAACAUGUGAAUAGUUUGUUACUUGAUCAUGCAAAGUUCUAUGAGUUGAGCUACUGUUAUGACAUAUAAUGAUGCUAGAAAAGGUGAUUGAAAUUAUCAUUGAUCAAACUUGUGCACCUGCUAGCAUUCACACUUCAUAGAUUAUUUCUUUUAUCAUUUACCUACUCGAGGACGAGCAGGAAUUAAGCUUGGGGAUGCUGAUACGUCUCCAACGUAUCUAUAAUUUAUGAAGUAUUCAUGCUAUUAUAUUAUCUGUUUUGGAUGUUUAUGGGCUUUAUUAAACACUUCUAUAUUAUUUUUGGGACUAACCUAUUAACCCAGAGCCCAGUGCCAGUUCCUGUUUUUUCCCUUGUAUUAGUGUUUCGAAGAAAAGGAAUAUCAAACGGAGUCCAAACGGAAUGAAACCUUCAGGAGAAGUUAUUUUUGGAAAGAAAGCAAUCCAGGAGACUUGGAGUGCACGUCAGGGGAUCAACGAGGAGAGCACGAGGCAGGGGGGGCGCCCACCCCCUGGGCGCGCCCUCCACCCUCGUGGGCCCCUCGUGGCUCCCCUUACCGACUUCUUUCGCCUAUAUAUAUCCAUAUACCCUAAAACCUUCGGGGAGGAGAAUAGAUCGGGAGUUCCGCUGCCGCAAGCCUCUGUAGCCACCAAAAACCAAUCGAGACCCUGUUCCGGCACCCCGUCGGAGGGGUGAUCGCUCACCGGUGGCCAUCUUCAUCAUCCCGGCACUCUCCAUGACGAGGAGGGAGUAGUUCACCCUCGGUGCUGAGGGUAUGUACCAGUAGCUAUGUGUUUGAUCUUUCUCUCUCUCGUGUUCUUGAGGUGGUACGAUCUUGAUGUAUCGCGAGCUUUGCUACUAUAGUUGGAUCUUAUGAUGUCCCCCCCCCUACUCUCUUGUAAUGGAUUGAGUUUUCCCUUUGAAGUUAUCUUAUCGGAUUGAGUCUUUAAGGAUUUGAGAACACUAGAUGUAUGUCUUGCCGUGCUUAUCUGUGGUGACAAUGGGAUAUCACGUGAUCCACUUGAUGUAUGUUUUGGUGAUCAACUUGCGGGUUCCGCCCAUGAACCUAUGCAUAGGGGUUGGCACACGUUUUCGUCUUGACUCUCCGGUAGAAACUUUGGGGCACUCUUUGAAGUACUUUGUGUUGGUUGAAUAGAUGAAUCUGAGAUUGUGUGAUGCAUAUCGUAUAAUCAUACCCACAGAUACUUGAGGUGACAUUGGAGUAUCUAGGUGACAUUAGGGUUUUAGUUGAUUUAUGUCUUAAGGUGUUAUUCUAGUAUGAACUCUAUGAUAGAUCGAACGGAAAGAAUAGCUUCGCGUUAUUUUACUACGCACUCUUGAAUAGAUCGAUCAGAAAGAGUAACUUUGAGGUGGUUUUGUACCCUACCAUAAUCUCUUCGUUUGUUCUCCGCUAUUAGUGACUUUGGAGUGACUCUUUGUUGCGUGUUGAGGGAUAGUUAUACGAUCCAAUUAUGUGAUUAUUGUUGAGACAACUUGCACUAGUGAAAGUAUGAACCCUAGGCCUUGUUUCCUAGCAUUGCAAUACCGUUUACGCUCACUUUUAUCAUUAGUUACCUUGCUGUUUUUAUAUUUUCAGAUUACAAAAACCUAUAUCUACCAUCCAUAUUGCACUUGUAUCACCAUCUCUUCGCCGAACUAGUGCACCUAUACAAUUUACCAUUGUAUUGGGUGUGUUGGGGACACAAGAGACUCUUUGUUAUUUGAUUGCAGGGUUGUUUGAGAGAGACCAUCUUCAUCCUACGCCUCCCACGGAUUGAUAAACCUUAGGUCAUCCACUUGAGGGAAAUUUGCUAUUGUCCUACAAACCUCUGCACUUGGAGGCCCAACAACGUCUACAAGAAGAAUGUUGUGUAGUAGACAUCAGAGGUGCCCCGAUAUUGUAUCACCCCACUAUCUUUUGCCUUUACUUAUUUUAGUUCGAUCCAUUGUUAUCUUUUGCUUUAGAUGAAUAAAAGUUUAGUUCAAUCCUUUCUUUUCGAGAGCUUGCUUAGUGGUCUAUCCUUGUAAAUCGUGUGCGAGAUAUAUAAUAAAGUUUAGUUUGAGUUUUUGCUUUAUUUACUUUCAUGUUGCAAUAAAAAGGAAGGAAAUAAAUUAAAAAUAUCAUAGGCUAAUCUUAUGGUAGGUGAUGGCACGACAUAAGGAAAAGUAUGAGUAGAAAAUUUUAUUAGAGAUUGACAAACAUAGCAUUGGUCAACGAUGCAACUCAUGAAAAAAUUAAUAAGGGAAGAGAAUAUUCACAUAUAAAUACACUAUCCUGGAAAUAUUUUGUGAUUGUGAGCCCCCAUCAAAAUAUUAUAUGCCAAAAUUGUUGACGUUAGACAAGGAAGACAAUGUAAUGAUUUAUGUUUGUUCAUAUUCACAUAGAAGUUAUAUUGUCAUAGAUCCUUCAACAUGUGGUGCUUGCCCCCUAUAUUUGCUAGCAAAAAAUUCCACACUAAGUAGAGAUACUACUUGUGCAUCCAAAAACCCUUAAACCCAAAUCUUAUUUUUCAAGAGUCCACCAUACCUACCUAGGGAUUGAGCAAGAACCCUCAAGUAAGUUAUCAUCGGUGCAAUAAGGCAAUAAAAAUUGCUUCUAAACGUGUGAGAUCAUUUAGUGUAAGAGAAAAUUGAGCGUUGUACGACAUUGUGAUGGUGAAGAAUAAAAGCGACAGACUGCAUAAUAAAGGUUGCCAUCACAAGGGGCAAUACAACGUGACGUUCUUUUGCACUAAGGGGUUGAGCAUACAAACAAAUAAGCGCAUGGCAACCUCUGCUUCCCUCUGCGAAGGGCCUAUCUUUUACUUUUAUGUAUUUACUUUUAUGCAAGAGUCAAAGUUUUUCUCUCUAUUCCUUUUUAUUUUUCUCCUUUGUCAAGCAUCAUGUGGUGAGGAAAGAUCUAGGGACAUAUGUCCAGUUGAAUAUGGGUAGCAUGAGUUAUUAUUGUUGACAUCACCCUUGAGGUGAAUACGUUGGGAGGCAAAACUAUAAGCCUCUAUCUUUCUAUGUGUCCAGUUGAAACGUUUUGUUGAUGCUAUGCGGUGAGUGUUAGCAAUCAUAGAAGACUAUAUGAUGGUUGAGUAUGUGGACUUGCCUAAAGUCUCCGAUACGUGACCCUUCCUGAAAAGAUGAUGAAUUGUAGUUGCAAAGUUGACUGAGAACAUAGUUUGUUGAUUUCUAAUAGAGUUUAUGCUUUAUACUUUGAUAGUGUGAUGAAUUGUUACUUAUUCAUGAGAAGUCUAUAAUAAAAGUCCUAUGAUAAAAGUCCUAUGAUAAAAGUCUUAUGUUUAAGUUUGUUGCUGUUAUAAUAAUCUACAUGAUGCUUCUAUGUACGUAUUUUGUUUUUAUCGACACCUUUGUCUCUAAGCAUGUGGACAUGUUCUUCGAUUUUGGUUUUCGCUUGAGGACAUGCGAGGUCUAAGCUUGGGGAGUUGAUACGUCCAUUUUGCAUCAUGUUUACCUACUAUUAUUUAUGAUGUUUUAUGCAUAAUAAUGCUUUUUGGAGUAAUUCUAAUGCCUUUUCUCUCAUAACAUGCAAGGUACACACAAAGAGGGAGAAUUCUGGCACCUGGAAACCUGGACCUGGAAAAGGUACGUCAGGCCACCUAUUCUGCACAACUCGAAACAAGCUGAAACUUUACAGAGAUUUUUUAUGGAAUAUAUGAGGAAUAUUGGAGCCAAUAAGUACCAGAGGGGGCCCACCAGGUGGGCACAACCCACCUGGGCGCGCCAGGGAGCCCAGGCGCGCCCUGGUGGGUUGUGCUCCCCUCUGCCCACCUCCGGUGCCCAUCUUCUGGUAUAAGUCAUUUUGACCUAGAAAAAAUAAGGAGAGGACUUCCGGGACAGAGCGCCACCAUCUCGAGGCAGAACUUGGGCAGGGCACUUUUUCCCUCUAGCGGAGCGAUUCUGCCUGGGCAACUUCCCUCCCGGAGGGGGAAAUCAUCGUCAUCAUCAUCACCCUCCAUCAACAUCUUCAACAACACCAUCUCCUCUCAAACCCUAGUUCAUAUCUUGUGUUCAAUCUUUGUACUGGAACUAUAGAUUAGUGCUUUGUGCGUGACUAGUAGUGUUGAUUACAUCUUGAAGUUGAUUACUAUAUGGUUUAUUUGGUGGAAGAUUAUAUGUUCAGAUCCAAUAUGCUAUUUAAUACCCCUCUGAUCUUGAGCAUGAUUAUUAUUUGUGAGUAGUUACUUUUGUUCUUGAGGUCAAGGGAGAAAUCAUGUUGCAAGUAAUCAUGUGAACAUGAUAUGUGUUCGAUAUUUUGAUAGUAUGUAUGUUAUGAUUCCCUUGGUGGUGUAAUGUGAACGUCGACUACAUGACACUUCACCAUAUUUGGGCCUAAUGGAAUGCAUUGUGGAGUAGUUAUUAGAUGAUGGGUUGCGAGAGUGACAAAAGCUUAAACCCUAGCUUAUGCGCUAUUCCGUAAGGGACCGAAUGGAUCCAAAAGUUUAAUGUUAUGGUUAGAAUUUAUUCUUAAUACUUUUCUCGUACUUUCGGAUGCUUGCGAGGGGGUUAAUCAUAAGUAGGAGGUUUGUUUAAGUAAGAACAACACCUAAGCACCGGUCCGCCCACAUAUCAAAUUAUCAAAGUAGCGAACACAAAUCGAACCAACAUGAUGGAAGUGACUAGAUGAAAUUCUCGUGUACCCUCAAGAACGCUUUGCUUACUAUAAGAGACCGUUUUGCUUGUCCUUUGCCUCAAAAGGAUUUGACUAUCUUGCUGCACUUUUGUUACUAUUAUCAUUACUUGAUCGUUACGAAUUAUCUUGCUAUCAAACUACUCUGUUACUUACAAUUUCAGCACUUGCAGACAUUACCUUGCUGAAAACCACUUGUAAUUUCCUUCUGGUCCUUGUUUGGUUCGACACUCUUACUUAUCGAAAAGAGCUAGAAUUGAUCCCAUAAACUUGUGGGCCAUCAAUUGUGGACUCCAGUGGAGAAGUAACCAAGUGGAUGAGCAAAGCUCUAUCUCUCAAAUGAACCAAGUGGUUGGUAGCUUGGUGCACUAGCUCGAUGAGGUUUGAGUAUGGUUGGAAGUCAGCGAUGUUCUUGAUAGGAUGAUUGAGUCCAUUCAAGAAACGUGCCAUAUUUUGCUCAUCAUCUUCCGUGACAUUGGCUCUUAUCAUGGCGAUCUCCAUUUCCUUGUAGUACUCUUCAACGCUCUUUGUUCCUUGCUUGAGAAGUUGGAGUUUCUUGAAGAGGUCGCGAUUGUAGUAGGUUGGCACAAAGCACGCUCUCAUGACAUCCUUCAUUUGCGCCCAAGUUGUGGUAGGUGGUUCACCUCUUGCAUCACAGCGCUCAAUGACUUGUUCCCACCAAAUGAGGACGUAAUCUUGGAAUUCAAGGGAUGCCGUAGCAAUAUUCUUCUCUUCCUCAUAGUUGUGCAAGCGGAAGAUCUUGUCAACCUUCAAUGCCCAUGAAAGGUACUCUUCAAGAUUAUUGCUUCCAGUGAACUUGGGCAUGGUGAACUUGAGCUUGCCAUAGCGUUUCUCUUCAUUGUGUUAGGGUCGGGGAUGAUGACGUCCUUGACGAGGAGGAUUGACAACCUCAUGUUUCUCUUGGCGUGGAGGAUUGUCAUUGUCGUGUUGCUCUUAGCGAAUUUGUGGUUCUUGUCGAGCUUGUGGAGGGGCUUGAGGAACUUGUCGGUGCCCUCUUGCUUGAUAGUUCCGCUCGUGAAUUUCAUCGCGAAGUGCGUCUUCUUGCUCGCGCGUAUGUCGUGUACGAUCGGCUACGGCGCGACUCGCGUCGUGGAGGGCAUGUUGUGCCUCAAGUGCUUGGGCUUCACGCCGUUGUUGUUGACGGAGCGCUUCGGCAUCUUGCUCUUCUUGGUGCUGGCGUGCCCGCUCUUCCUCUUGUUGGCGUUGGCGUUGCCUUUCUUGUGCUUGCGCAAAGGUAGCUUGAUUUUGACGAUGUUGAUGUUCUUGCGCUAGGCGUAGUUCUUGAGAAUCGGCUCCGUGUAGAGGAUUGAGGUUUGCUUGACGGUCUUGUCGCGCGGCUCGACGAAGAGUGUUUGAUGUCGGUGUACUUGAGCCGGAGAUGGUGUCGUCGGAGUGUCGACUCGAGCGGCUCCGUCUUGAGUAGGACGACGAGGUAGAUGAGCAGUUGACCAUCAUGGCUCAAAUAUCCUCCUUGAGAGAGGCCAUGGAUGUGUCGAAGUAGUCUCUUAUAUGUUGCUCGGAUUGUUGUAAGUCGGUGGCGAGGUUGUCGAUGCGGUCGCCCAAAGCUUGUUGUUCUUGAUGCAAAGCUCUUUGUGCACCAAAGAGGUGGCUCUUGGUGACGUAGGUGGUCGAGUCAUCGUCUUGCUCGAUGAAGAGUGGGUUGGUAGAAGAACUUGGCCUAUCCGUCAUUCCAAGAAAAUAUGUGAGUGGGAGAAAGAGAAGAACUUAUACCAAAUGUACCUUGACCGAUGUUGAAGAUGGAUCAAUGAUCACUCAAAUGUAUAACAAGGGAAUAGCACAAUUGGUACCAAUUCUUGUCAGUUCUCACACCUACACAAGUAAAAGCUUAUGGUGGAGCUCGGUUAGGAUGGUGGCACAAAAUUUGAUGCAAUUGUUAGUGAGACUCAAUAAUGUUGAAAAAGAUUCGCAAAUUUGCAAAUGCAACAAGUAGACCAAUAGCAAAAUGGAAGUACACCGAAACACACCCACGGAUAGAUAAAUGGGGUUGUGCAGCCAAAGAAUGAGGCAAAAUGUGGAAUCCACGAAAAUGUUCUUGUUGCACAACUCUAGAGAGACGCUAGCACAAUUGCACAAUAGGCGAAUACGAAACUUGUGCACAACCUACUAGGCAAAAAUGCAACAACUUCUAUCCCACGUAUGCUAUAUGUAUGGUGUUCCGAUGAUAUGAUCCAAGAUGAUCGAGUAUGACAAUCGUAAUGUAGUAUGAUGCUAUGGUUCUUGCUUAUAAGCUCUUUGCUUAUCUUUUCCUUUUGCUUAAAAGCUUGUUUGGCUCUUUCACGUGUGAGCUCUUUCUCAUGCAAAACUUCACAAACCAUGAUAGCAAUUGAGUAUAUGCGAUGACAACCUUGUGACACAAGAGAUGAUAUCAAGAUAUAUGUACCAAGAUGAUAUGGUAUGUAUGCAAUGGGAACUAUAAUCACUAAUGUGCACAAGUAACGUUGCCGGCAAUACUCAAAUGGCUAGUCUCGAUAGGUAAGGUAUGCAAAAUGGUCUAUGGGUUAUCAAUGCAAUGGCAAGAAUGGUGAUAUACCUCAAUACCAAGAUGAUGUGGAAGUUACCGUUUUUGCUUACGGUGAGGGUGUCAAAAUGGUAGAGCGGUUGUUGCCGAUGACGAGUCUGUGGCGAAGAUGAGCGGCGGUGAUGUUGAUGUCGAACUGUCCCUAAGUUGCCAAAACGUGUUAGGAAACAGAAACCGCAACUCAAAUUCUCAAAGCAAAACGUGUCAAAAUUGUCGGAGUUGGUGGCGGGUAAGCGGUGGUGGUAUGCGGAAGUGAGAUAUGUCCGGUCAAAAAUUGGCGAGAGUUAGGCGGAAAACUGAGCAGUGGAUGGAAGUGAUGCUGUCACGGGCCGGAUUUCCAGGCUUGAUGGCCGGAUGUCCGGGGGUCACGGGCCGGAUGUCCGGGCUCUGGAUCCGUGGACGAACUCGACGAACUCGCGGGGAAAAGGCAAAUUCGGGGCAAAAUUCGAGAGAUUUGGUGGAUGGAAUUGGGAGAAAAGUUAGGGGAAGCUAGAUCUACCUGCUACACACGAAAUCCGUGGAUCAAAACCAACAAAACUUCAUCACACCAACAAAUCACAAAAAAAAUUGGGGGGCUAUUUUUGUGGGGAUUUUCAAAUUUGGGACAAAAUCAACAAAACAAGGCUAGAAAAGAAAGAGGGGAGGCUCCAAAAUCGUGAUCAACGUGGCUCUUGAUAUCAACACUAGUACGCAUCGGUGCUAUACAAACGGUUUUAACCCCUUUCCGCGACGACAUUUGGAACCGCCGCCUAGUGACUGUUGGCGAUAGGGGGGUCCUUCCCACACGAGCCAGAAACCGUCGGGGAUAUGCCCUCCUGGCACACACGCUCGGCAAAAUGAGGUCGUGUGCGACCAGCGAGCGCUCAAAUACGGAAAUACGUACAGUAGAGCUAAAAAAUACAAUUAUACAGGCGAAAUUGUUUUCGGUUGCAAGUACAUCCCACACAGUCAGUCCCCGUUAAACGUUUCUGUUCGUAUGUACAUCCCACACAGUCGCUCCAAGGAAAACAUUUCCGUUCAUAGAUACACCACACAUAAUUUUUCCCGUUAAAUCGUUUGCGUUAUUGAAUGCAUCACACAGGAUCCGUAGAAGAAACUGUGUGGCAAAGGUUGUCCAUCACACAUAGUUUUUAUGUGGUAAACGUUUGCGCAAGGUGGCCUAACGCAAACAAUUUUCAAGAGAAAGUCGUGUGUGAUUGUUCAUUGAUCCAACACGGUUUAUUCCUAAAAACUGUGUGCGUUGCCUGAGGUCAUCGCCCAAGGUAUUUUUUCAAUAACCGUUUGCAAUAGCAAAACCUAAUUAGCAGGCUAAUUCACCAUUAGCAGGCUAAUUCGCCCUAUUAUUAAUAAACCAUUUAUUAAUCUAAUUGACAUUCAUAUUAAGCACAUAAUAUAUUUCAUUUCCAUAUUAAGGAAGCAAAAUUUCAUAAUUGAAAUACAUCAGAGUACAACAUGAUAUACCUUCAACACUCGGCUACCCCAUUACACAACUGCACCCACCAAGUUUCACAUGCAACAUGUAGAACCUUUCGAAAUUAGCAUCAUAGAUGGUAUAUAGACAAACGCAUCUCAUCUGGAAAACUGCUAAAGCGGAAGGCGAAUAUUGAGCCUUCAUUCAUGUUGAAGGUCUUUGCAACUUUAGGCCAGUGCCUGUGGAUGAUUGACCGUCCGUCCUUCGUCCUCUUCAGAAACACUUCAAUAUUGAACCGUGGGUGUUGUAUGAAAACCUUCCUCGCCUCCUGGCCAUAGAGGUGGUUUGAGAGGUAAUCAUCAAUGAACUGCUUUGGAAAGGCCUGAAAACAAGGAUGUGCAUAAAUAUCUUCUCUAUAUUGGAAAUGGGGCAAAGGAAUAAAAAAGGCAAGCUAUAAUAGUUAGUACCAUCUUGUAGUGAACUGAUGUCUUCUUCAUUGUGCAGACAAAGAUCUUGUUGUUUUUUGUCGCUAAUUUCUUUAUCCUAAGAAUCUUUCCGAGUUUCUUGAUUUGAUUGAUAUUCAUGGACAACUCAUUUCCCCAUACGCAAAAAGGGUCGAACAGUGGGUCAAAACCUCUGAUAGCAGGACCUACAUGUGCAAGACCAAAUUGUUAAAAACCUAAAUAUUAGAAUGGUUCCUCCAAUUGCACAAUAAUGUGCUAUUAGACAACGGAUCAUGCACGUGCUAACCUCGAUUGUAAACCUCAGUGCUUCCCAUUGUUUCCCUGCAACACAUAUAAGGUAGUUAGUCAUUAGGUUAAGUAAGGGUUCACAUGCUAUCAGUAAAAUAUGGUGAUGAAAAAUAAGCACAUUGCAGAUUCAUCAGAUUAAUUGAAGCCACAUGGAAAGCCCAUUUAUCCAAACUAAGCAUGAUUAAGAACUAGGAAAUAUAGCACUUAUAUAUGUUUCUCAUGUAUUAAGUGCAGCCAAAUUCGAUUUAUUCCUCACAUGCACAACAAUACAAAAUUCUACCCACGACAAUUGGACAUCGCAUUGCAGAAUUGAACCAAGCAGUUAACUAAACCAAGCAUGCUUAACAACUUGGAAAUAUAGCAAUUGUAUUUGUUUCUCAUGUAUUUACUACAGCCAAAUUCAGUUUAUUCAUCACAUGGUAUACAAUAACAGAAUGCAUCCACAACUAUUGAACAUCACAUUGUAGAAUUGAACCAAACAGUUCACUAAACACCACAACACAAAUGAACCAAACGUUAACUGAGCACCACAUUGCACAAUGUAUAACCAAACCAAGCAUGCUUGACAACUUGGAAAUAUAGCAAUUGUAUUCGUUUUUCAUGUAUUUUGUAAAGAUAAAUUCGAUUUAUUUCUCACAUGGAACACAAUACAAAAUUGAAGCCUGAAGAAUUGAACAUCACAUUUGCAGAAUUGAACCAAACAGUUAACUGAAGACGAUAACUAAUUAACAAAGCAGUUAAUAAGUGAGCACCACACUGCACGACAUAUAGAACAUAUACACUAGAGCAACAGAUUGCAUGGUAAAAUUAGAUAGCACAAUUCACUAGAAUUUGUGAAGGAAAGGCAGGAGCAGCACACGCAACGGGUAAACUGAGCAUGCUUAACCAGCAUAGCUAGCAAAUGGCAAGGUGCUCCUCCAAGAUCUGGGGGUCGGCACGAAUGGAAGCCAUCGCGACCUCAUCCGCGUGUGCAGCCAUGAUUUGCUUCUCCACUGCCAAAUGCUCCUUGAGAUUCUGACUAAAAUGCGUGCACCAAGGCUUAGGGCGGCGCUUAUUUGGUGGAGGGGUCGGUGAUUUGGGUGGAAGGUGUCGCGCUCACACCGGCGGUCGGGGCAUGUGGGAUGUGGAAGGAGGAGGAGGAUGGGGGUCGGGUGUUGAUUACGUGCAUGGAUAGACGAGGCCGAGCUGCGUGAAGGAGGGUCGCCGGCGAGGAGGCGGCGCUGCAAGCAAGGAGUGAAGGUUUCAACUUGGAAAGGAAGGCGGAAACAGGGGAAAUGUGGCUUUUGGUAAGGGGGAGGGGCGGGGAGGUAGAUAUUUCCGUGGAAGCCAAAAAUUUGGAAUCGCUUAAGCCAAAAAACUGGCGCGCAAAGUGUCACCAGACACGGUCCCUUAUUCAGGACUGUGUACGAUAUGUGAACAUCAAAAACGAUUCAGAUAGCUUAACGCGUGUGUGAUGAGUUUGAACGUCAAAAUUUUUGGUUCGAAUUUCCAUGGUUACAGUGGUCAUCCACGUCAUUGCAUAAUUUGGGUACACAAAGGAGACUACAGCACACCCACACUUCUUAAUCAAGCAUGUUCAACAAUUAAACAGAGCUAGGUAACCUAAACAUUACUCUAACAAAUUAAAGACCGGCGCUCUUAAUUAAACAAAACAAAGAGUACUAGUACUAGGGCUGGUGCUUGUCGAUCUCCGCCGCCGCCUCCAUGUCCAGCUCGCGCUCGAUGGUCUCCUGGGUAAGGGGCUCCAUGGCAUCCAUCGCACCAUACUCGACAAGCAUUUCGCCAUCCGCGUCCGCCAUCUCUUUGGAAAAGGCCGCCACGAGCUGGGCAUGGGCUGCCGCGAUCUUGGCUUGGGCGGGCUCCGUCAUUGCAAGGUAAGCGGCGGAGGAACGGACGGCUACUCAAACGCUCUCGGUGAUUGCCAACUCUUUGGCUGUGGGUUGCCGACCGUUGUCGGAGAAGCUUCGUUCGAUUUGUGCGGUUACCGCCACGAGCUGGGGGUGGGAGGCCUCGACAUGGUCGUGGGCGGCCGCCAUCAAGGCUAAGGCCGCCGCUGCGGAACGGACAACUACUGUGCCGCUCUCGCUAGUUGCUAUCCCCGAGGCUGAUGUUGCUGCCGCCACCUGAGAAGCAACAUUGGUCGUUUGGGCUGCCUUGGCCGCCCGGUCGCAGAUUGCGGCCGCGCUCAUGCACCUUGUUAGCACACGCAUGGCGGCCGCGGCCGCGCUCUCGCCGGAGUGGGCCACCGUAGUUGCCCUCACGACGCGGGUCCACGUGCCCAUCUUUCACCGGCGAUGAUUGAACAGUGAAAUGAUAUUUGGGGAGCGAGCUAGUGUGCUUGAGACGCCGGCUGUGGACUGUAGCCGACGCACCUUCUCGCGUAAGCCAUAGGCGUACUAUAUAUACACCGAUGGUGCUCUGGGAUAUUUUGUGCUACAUCUCAAACAGUUGGUGAUAAUAAACUGUGUGCGAUCUACUUAAUUUUUCAUCUUGAUUUGAAUUACAUAAUGGAGUCACAACGACAAUGGACGGUGUUUGAAUUGCUAGACCUUUUUUCUGCAGUGAACAUGCAACUAUAUGUGUGUCGUAAAACAAUUGGAAUUAUUCAGUGUUCGUUUGAACAUUUUAUACAUUAAAUUGGUUUUCUAGCCAUUUCAGGUGCACAAUUCAAAAUUAAACUACAUGCACAUGCUCUGGUGCACCAACAUGGGUUGAAAUCAUAUAUGUGUCAAUGGGUUUAUGCUUAUGUCCCAUGCAAGAAAUUGGGAUGAAAUUCGAACACCACGGUACCGUGGCUCUCCGGCAAACGUCGAUGUACUUGCUUUUGUAAUUCUAGUAAAUCCAAAAUUCGUCUGAAAUUCAUGAAACUUGGCAUGCUAUCAUGGAGCGGCAUCAACAUGCCGUCGUAUUUUUUUCCCAUUUGGGGCAGGUUUGGGUAUAAGCUUCUCAUAAACCAGAGCUUCUCACAACAAGUGUGAUGGUUUCGGUAGGGAACGUUUCACCUUUCUGGACGAAAUGAUAUCCGUUGCCUCUUCUCGAUUUCAAUUUUUUCCUAGUGUCAACAUAGAACAACAGGAGUGUUGUGUCAAUUUUUGGGAUUUUUCGGGGUUCGUUUGGACAUUUUUAUGCAUCAACUGAGUUUUCAAUGCAUUCAUGUGCAUAAUUCAAAUUUGAACUACAUGCACAUGCUCUAAUGCAUAUAAAUUGGUCGAAAAUUCAAAUAUGUGUUCUUGGUUGCAUGCUUAGGUUCCAUGCAAGAAAUGGUAAUGAAUUUCAAACAACAGGGCACCGUUGAUUGCCGGCAAAACAUUGAGAUACCUGGUUUUUAAAUUCUAGUAAAUCCAAAACUCGUCUGAAAUUCAUGAACAUUAGCAUGCUAUCAUGGAGCGGCACCAACAUGCCGUGGUAAAUUUUUUGUCCCAUUUGGGGCAGGUUUGGGUAUAUGCUUCUCACAAACCAGAGCUUCUCGCAACAAGCAUGAUGGUUUCGGUAGGGAACGUCCCACCUUUGGGGACGAAACGAUAUCCAUUGCCUCUUAUUGCUUUCCAAAAUUUUCUCGUGUCAACAUAGAACAACAGGAGUGUUGUGUCAAUUUUUGUGAUUUUUCGGGGUUCGUUUGGACAUUUUUAUGUAGUAACUGAGUUUUCAAUGCAUUUAUGUGCAUAAUUCAAAUUUGAACUACAUGCACAUGCUCCAGUGCAUAUAAAUUGGUUGAAAAAUCAAAUCUGUGUCCUUGGGUGCAUGCUUAGGUCCCAUGCAAGAAAUGGCAAUGAAUUUCAAACACCAGGGCACCGUUGAUUGCCGGCAAAACAUUGAGAUACCUAGUUUUUAAAUUCUACUAAAUCCAAAACUUGACUGAAAUUCAUGAAACUUGGCAUGCUAUCAUGGAGCGGCAUCAACAUGCCUAGGUAAUUUUUUGUCCCAUUUGGGGCAGGUUUGGGUAUAUGCUUCUCACAAUCCAGAGAUUAUCACAACAAGCAUGAUGGUUUCAGUAGGGAACGCCCCACCUUUGCGGGCGAAACGAUAUCCAUUGCCUCUUAUUGCUUUCAAAAAUUUUCUCGUGUCAACAUAGAACAACAGGAGUGUUGUGUCAAUUUUUGUGAUUUUUCGGGGUUCGUUUGGACAUUUUUAUGUAUUAGCUGAGUUUUCAAUGCAUUUAUGUGCAUAAUUCAAAUUUGAACUACAUGCACAUGUUCUAGUGCAUAUAAAUUGGUUGAAAAAUCAAAUCUAUGUCCUUGGGUGCAUGCUUAAGUCCCAUGCAAGAAAUGGUAAUGAAUUUCAAACACCAGGGCACCGUUGAUUGCUGGCAAAACAUUGAGACACCUGGUUUUUAAAUUCUAGUAAAUCCAAAACUCGUCUGAAAUUCAUGAAACUUGGCAUGCUAUCAUGGAGCGGCAUCAACAUGUCGUGGUAAAAGUUUUGUCCCAUUUGGGCCAGGUUUGGGUAUAUGCUUCUCACAAACCAGAGAUUCUCACAACAAGCAUGAUGGUUUCGGUAGGGAACGUCCACCUUUGGGGACGAAACGAUAUCCAUUGCCUCUUAUUGCUUUAAAAAAAUUCUCGUGCCAACAGAGAACAACAGGAGUGUUGUGUUAAUUUUUGUGAUUUUUCGGGGUUCGUUUGGACAUAUUAUGCAUUAACUCAGUUUUCAAUGCAUUUGCGUGCAUAAUUCAAAUUUGAACUACAUGCACAUGCUCCAGUGCAUAUAAAUUGAUUGAAAAAUCAAAUCUGUGUCCUUGGGUGCAUGCUUAGGUCCCAUGCAAGAAAUGGUAAUGAAUUUCAAACACCAGGGCACCGUUGAUUGCCGGAAAAACAUUGAGAUACCUGGUUUUUAAAUUCUAGUAAAUCCAAAACUCAUCUGAAACUCAUGAAACUUGGCAUGCUAUCAUGGAGCGGCAUUAACAUGUCGUGGUAAAUUUUUUGUCCCAUUUCGGGCAGGUUUGGGUAUAUGCUUCUCACAAACCAGAGAUUCUCACAACAAGCAUGAUGGUUUCGGUAGGGAACGUCCCACCUUUGGGGACGAAACGAUAUCCAUUGCCUCUUAUUACUUCCAAUUUUUUUCUCGUGUCAACAUAGAACAACAGGAGUGUUGUGUCAAUUUUUGUGAUUUUUCGGGGUUCGUUUGGACAUUUUUAUGCAUUAGCUGAGUUUUCAAUGCAUUUAUGUGCAUAAUUCAAAUUUGAACUACAUGCACAUGCUUCAGUGCAUAUAAAUUGGUCGAAAAAUCAAAUUUGUGUCCUUGGGUGGAUGCUUAGGUCCCAUGCAAGAAAUGGGAAUGAAUUUCAAACACCAGAGCACCAUUGAUUGCCGGCAAAACGUUGAGAUACCUGGUUUUUAAAUUCUAGUAAAUCCAAAACUCGUCUGAAAUUCAUGAAACUUGGCAUGCUAUCAUGGAGCGGCACCUUGGUAAAUUUUUUGUCCCAUUUGGGGCAGGUUUGGGUAUAUGCUUCUCACAAACCAGAGAUUCUCACAACAAGCAUGAUGGUUUCGGUAGGGAACGUCCCACCUUUGGGGACGAAACGAUAUCCAUUGCCUCUUAUUGCUUUCAAAAAAAUUUCUCGGGUCAACAUAGAACAACAGGAGUGUUGUGUCAAUUUUUGUGAUUUUUCGGGGUUCGUUUGGACAUUUUUAUGCAUUAACUAAGUUUUCAAUGCAUUUAUGUGCAUAAUUCAAGUUUGAACUACGUGCACAUGCUCCAGUGCAUAUAAAUUGGUUGAAAAAUCAAAUAUGUGUCCUUGCGUGCACGCUUAGGUCCCAUGCAAGAAAUGGGAAUGAAUUUCAAACACCAGAGCACCGUUGAUUGCCGGCAAAACGUUGAUAUACUUUAUUUUUAAACUCUAGUAAAUCCAAAACUCGUUUGAAAUUCAUGAAACUUGGCAUGCUAUCAUGCAAUGGCACCCGACAUGCUGUGGUAUUUUCGUGUCCAUUUUGAGAGAAGGCACACUGGAAUAAUGACAGCCAACAAAGGCAUUUUGAAAAAAUAGCUGCCACUUUAAUAUCUCAAACGUUUGUAUAAUUCAAAUCGUGUGUGUUCUGUUAACCAUUCACGUGACGCCACGUGUCUUCGUUUUAAUGGCUAUAGGAGGUGCUGUGCGGACAGCUGCUUGACCUUGACUGAACGGGAGGCGUGCGAGCGGAGUCCGGUGCGCAGGCUGACCGAGAGGCGUGCAAGCUGUCCUCGAAUGCACAGACUCACCGGGAAGCGUGCGAGUUGUACACUGCGCAGGCUCACUGGGAAGCGAGCCCUUUGACUUCCAUGGCUGCCCACCUUCCUCUCCGUGCACGCGCCCCGCUCAGCGGCAUGGGACGCCGCCGUCGAACGCUACCUCUUGGUGCCGCCAGCUGUCGUCCUCCCGCGCCCCGCCCGUCGAUCCCGGGACGACAUGUUGUUAAGUGAGAGCAGGAUUUGUGCAUCUCUUCAACGCAAACGGUUCUUUUGGAUGACCCGUGUGCAACCACUUACAAACAAUUUGGUAAGAUUUGCAUCUAUCAUAUUGGGUAUGUUGCCAUUUGUCAAACUGGAAAGAUUGACAUUUGUUGAUCUAGUAACAUUUCCAUUUGUCAACCUUGUAACACUGCGAUUUGUCAAAAUAUGAGGCUAAAAGUCACUACCAAUAUUUGCAACUAAAAUUCAGUAAUUAAGCAUAGAUUUCAUUCAUAGAUUAAGCAAUCGUUCUUAAUUUAUACAAACAGUUUAACUUGACAGCUGAACCGGCAAAACUUUUCCCCAAUUGUUGCCAACCACUUACUGAAAUAGUUAGUUCAACUAUAUAUACUAGCUAAUUUUAAGUACGUUGUACAGUUCCACCACAUCUAUAGUCAGAUGAACUGAACAAAAUAGCCCUUAAAUACUACUACUACUGCGGAGGGGCUUUGUACUACUUUCGGCUGCCUCUCCUCUGCCGAGCGCACUCAGUAAGAGGCGGAGGAGGAGGAGCCUACCGAUGAGCUGGGCAAUUGCAAUAUGGUGCCUGCCGUUGUUGCAGCUUCAGCGACGCUCACCUCGAACGCGCUCUGCCGCUCCAGACGACCCCUCUCGAAGCGGUGGUUCUUCUCACAGAUCUCCUGAUUCCUCGCCUCUGAGGCGGCAUGUGCCGCGGCCAUGGCGGCGGUAAGGCUCUUUGCGUGCUCGACGAGGCGCUCCUCCUCUUCCCGCAGGAACUCGGUGUAGCGCGUAAGGUCGCUGACGCACGUGCGGGCAUCCACCUCCGCCUCCCGCCUUCGGGCGGCGGUGGAGGAGCGGGUGACGACCCCGGCGGUCGACGGUGGGCUGGCGGCCACGGCGGCCGACGAUGGGGUGGCGGCCACGACCACCACCUCCCGUCUUCGGGCCGCGGUGGCGGAGCGGGUGAUGGCCACGGUGGCCGGCAGUGGGGUGGCAGCCACGACGGCCACCUCCCGCCUUCGGGCCGCGGCGACGGAGCGGGAGAUGGCCCUGCCUUUCGACGGUGGUGUGGCAGCAAUGGCGGCCGGCAACAGCUACCGAUGGGCAGCAGCGGCGGAGCGUGUGGUGGGUGUUCCGCGCACACCCAACAGGGACGCCACACGCACACUGCGCCGCCGCCGCGGUGUAGCCUCCCAGCUGGAGCUGUCCUCUGAUGACGGCGGAGUGGCUGAGCGACGACGACAGACCAGUGCCAUUGGCGAUUGUGGGAGAAGCAGAUGAGAUAAGCUACAGGGAGGGAGGGGAAAAUGCGACGCAGGACUCGCCGACCGUGAGGGUUUUUAUAGCAGGCCGGUAAGCAUUGGGAUUUUGGGGGAUUUCACCAAGUCGGGCGGGAAGCUUGCUUGGGAACCUGCGAGGUUGCGCGGGAACGGGCUCACUGACGAUUCAUUGGCGCCAUCGUUUGGCCAAAAGAACGCCCCCGCGCGCUGUGCAAGCUUGCGCUGUAAGGCGUCUGCGGCAGCGGGGUGACAAGACGUGCGAGAGGAGAACGAAAGGCUACGUACACAUACGGUUAAUAAAAAAACGUUUGCGAUUUAAUUACAUACUAUACCCCCGUCCUGGUUUAUAAGUAUGAUUUAACUAAUAAAAUACGAAUGCAUGUCGCCAAAGAUUAUAUAGUUGGAUUCGUAUUUGAACAUAGUUUCCAAUUAUAUAAUUUUUAUAACAUGCAUUAACAUUUUGUUGGUUAAAUUUCAGGGCAAAGUAUGGCAUAGAAUAUAAAGGGGACUAUAGACUAGACGGAGGUGGUAGCACAUAGCCGCUCUCUACGCAGUGACGCAACUGUCAGCCGGCUUGUAGGUGACCAUUUUCCUGCGUGUUCAACUGCUCUAUGUGUGUGGUUGCUUGCGGUUCAGGCACCCGCGGAGCGCUCUGCUCGCGUCCCGCCACUCGCGCUCUGCUCUCGCCUCCCUUCGGGUGCUCUGCCCUCGUCCCUCCAUGUGCGCUGCCAGUGUUUGGGGCCGGCGCACGAUCACGCACGUUCGUGUGCAUGCAGUUGCGCCGGGCGCGGCGCGGCGAUGCAGUUUCCCGCUGCAAAAACUGCCAUGCGGACGCGCAGAGAAUCCAAGCCGCCCGUCCCCCAUUUAUUCAUACGGCCAUUUACCUUAUAUCUCUCGCGUCACACGACACAAUAAGCACACCCACGACGACACAUACAGAGAGGACAUCCAGCGGUUCCAAUGGCGCUCCCCGUGGCUCCGAUGGCGCUCCCAGCGGCCGACGACGACAACGGCGGGCAGUUCACCACGCAUCACGUAGUGGACACCCACGUGAGGGGGAAGGCCCUCUUGGUUGUGUACAUGAACGACCCGGUCUCGGUGGAGAGCUCCAUCCAAACUAUGGAGCAGUUCCUUAUCGAGGACAAGUACCGAGUGGUCGGCUUCGACCUCGAGUACACCAUCGGCCGUGUCGGGCAUGAUCAAAAGGUUGCCAUCGCCCAGUUGUGUGUGCGACAUGACGUCCUCGUCUACCACUACCACCUUGCCACAAGGCCUUGCGAGCGUUUCUCCAGGUUUAUCAACAACUCCGACUACUGUUUCGCUACGGUGGACACCACCAACAAUCUAAAAGCGCUCAAGGUUUCGGACUUGAAAUGCCUGAAUCUUGUCAACAUCCAGCACCACUACAAGGCGUGGGGCAGCGACAAAAACAAAUUGAACUCCCUGGUUGACCUCGCCUCGGCUAUCAUCGACCCCUACUACAUGAAGAUGAAGAAUGAGAGCAAUAAGGACAAUAACGCCUGGCACAGUGUGUGGCAUGAGAGACUGGAUGAACAACAUGUCAAGUACGCGGCCAUGGACGCGUACAGAAGCUACGAGAUGUACAGGCGGAUCGUUGACAUGAGGAAGUGUCUUCUUCCUGCCCCAGAUGAGGCAUCGAGCCACAGAGCAGUGGCGGGAGCGUCACAAGAAGUAGAUGACUAGAUGAUCGUUUCUCCUACUUUAGAAUGCAUGCAAUUGUUUAUUGAGGCGUGUGCGAAUGAUCUGUAUAGUCACUUAUGUAAUUGGAUGUUUAUUUCAGUUAUACACACACACACACACAUGUUAUUCUACCGUAGACAGAGCAACUCACACGGCUUCUUAGCAGCAAUCGUCUCUGUUAUUAUUGGUCUUCGCACACAUUUCUGAUUACAGACCUAUUUGCCGCGUAUCACACACAUCUUGUUCAGUUGAACCAUUUCAAUUGUGUUGCCUAAUCACACACAGUUCAUCCUAGUGAACCGUAUGCUGUAUAUCGCACACGCCUUCAUCUGGCUGCCCAUUUCUUUUGUUCCUCCUCAUCCAAAACAGUUAAUUGAACUGAACCAUAUGCCCUGCAUCGCACACGCAACUAAAAUCUGAACCAUGUUUGAUGCAUCCAUCAUCGCAAACGUUUUGUGCCUUUUUUGACGGGUUUUUACACCACCGUUUGCCACUAUGGCAUCGCACACAGUUUCAUCGAAGGGUCUCUGAUCGUAGUGUCGCGUUUGGACCAUCCUGCGGUAGUGCAAGAUGAUGUAGGGUGGAAACCCUAGGGCCGAUCUUUCAUGAUUGGAGCGGAUUCUACGAGGAACACGAGGGGAAAAUACAAGGGGAAACAUGAGAGAAAUCACUCAAACCAACAAGAUUCAAUUACACAUGUGCUAGAUCCUCGAAACACAAAGAGAUACACGAUCCACGAUCAACAAAGGACGAUACAAGCAUCAAGUUCUUCUCCAUGAGGAGGUCAUGAGGGGGUCUUCCCGUGAAGGGUCUUGAAUCCACUUGGGGGAUCUUCUUCGAAGAGGCCGUGGACUCCAAUGGAGAAGUAAAGUGGAUGAGAAAAGCUCUAUCUCUCAAAUGAGCUAAUCCUUUGCUGACUCUGGAAAGAGGGAGGAGGAGGAGGAGUAUGUAUAGUCUAGGUGGGCGAAGGGGUACAUGGGCCUCGGCCCUUUACUGUGUGCGGACAGGCGGGGCCGGAUGUCCGGGAGUCGGGCCGGAAGUCCGUGCCUUCAGGAGGAGCCGGAUGUCUGGGCUGGCAGGGUCGGUCUUGAAGCUCUCUGGAUACGCGGUGUCUGGAUUUCCGGGGAGGAGGCCGGAUGUCCGGCGGCUCGGGAAGAGCCGGAUGUCCGGGCUGACGUGGUCCAGCUUCGGGUGUGUUCUGUGAUGGGCGCCAGAUUUCUAGGCGGGGGCCGGAUGUCAAGGCUGGUGUCGGGCCCGAUGUCAGGGCCCUGUAGCUUCUGCUGGGCGGCGGAUGUGGUAGAUGCUCCAGGGGCCGGAUGUCUGGGGCGGCCGGAUGUUCGGGUCCUGGAGGCUUCUCCAGUUCCUUCCAUCGUUCCUCUUCAUCCAUGAACUUGGGGACUUGUCUGUCUUCAUGUGCAUCUUCGGGAGGGCCUUCUUGGUACCUGAUCAUGCACAACAUUCGGACUUAGGUAGUAGCCAUGUCUUGAGAGGGUCAUAUGGAAUAUCACUAAGGAGAGAUGUCACCUCGUUCUCGAGGGCCCUAGCUCGUGCUCAUGUCAUUGGUCCUCUUGGCACUUGGUGAGACGAUGAUAGGUCCAAGGGGAUGACCAUAGGAUGCUCCGCAUCAAACAUGUUCAAGUGGACCUCCAUGACGGAGGCGGAACUUAUCAAGAGGCGGAUUGAGGAGGACAAGGCGGCUAGGGUUGCCGGGAGGGCAAGGCCCGGAAGGGUGGAAGAGGGAUAAGAAGGGGAAGCUAAAGGCGAGGCUCUUCCCUCGGCGGGGGCGAGGUGCACGCCACAGAGGAGGCUGCCGUGUAUGACCCUGCUGAGGCCGAGUUCUCCGGGAUCGAAGCCCUGUAUGCCGCUGCAGCGCGGACCCAUGAAGAGGACGGAGCUCAGGAGGCGGAGCAACCCCAAGAGGAUUGGCUCGCAGCGGGCCCGCAAGCCCCCGACGAACCAGUCCUGGAGUAGCGUCCGCGUCGGCGGCCCAGUCGAGGAACAUCGGUCCCCGUCCCUGCGCCCGCCGUCAAGAAGGUGAAGAAGAUUGCCUCCAAGAGCGUCGGGGCGGACGCGCCGUGACGACAGUCCUCUCGCCUUUCCGAGGCCAAGACCCCUCCCGCCAAGCGACGGGCGGUCAUAGGGGUCGACUCCAGCUCCCAAUCAGACUCGAGCUCUUCGAGCAGUUCAUCCUCGUCGGAUCCCCUGCACCUCAACAUGACCCAAAGCUAUCGGGAAGCGUUGCCGCCCCGACCCAGAGGAGGAGUGGAGGUCCUCCGCCACCCAUGGAGUUCGCAUUGGGCUCCAUGCUCAUAGACUCGGAGUAAGGAAAAUACUUCCUCUUCCCGUUGGUAUCUAGUGCCUUUGUGAGUUUGUUGAUUCAAUCUUGCCUGCCGUUUUUUUGACAGGGAGGAGGAAGAAGAUACCCUCAUCCGUCGGUCAAAACAGCUCAGGCGGGCGGCGCUAUCGGGGCCUUUAGAGGGCACAGGCCUGGCGGGAAGCAGCACAAAUGACCUAGCGCCAAGCCCCCAUCCCAGCCCCCGGCAUGAAGACACCGGGCGGGUUUCUCCCGCCAAGGGUGACGUGGAGAAAUGCCCCCCGUCCCCUGCCAAGGAAGAAGGGGAGAUCUCCUUGGGUGAGGUCCCCCGGGAAGAGUCUACUCCUCCUGUCACUCGAAAUGAGAGGUCCUCGGAAGGGGCUUCCACAGAAGGAUCGGUUCUUCCUAAUGUUGUGGUCACCGAGGAAGGGCGUAGCGGUUGUGUCCCGACAACUGAUGUUGCCGGGGGAACUGAAACCCUCCCGCGGCAAACGACUCUAGGUAUCUUGAUCAUCCUUCUGUUCUUCAUUUGCUUUUAUCAUUUUGCCUCCUUAUCAUUGUUCGUCGCUCUUGCUUGUAGCUCCGUUGACCAAGGAGCCUGAAUUGUUGGAGGAGGUGGCCAACAUUGGCAAGGAUGCUGCUGAGGAGGCUGCCAAGAUUGCUGCCACAGAGGAACAAGCUGCCAGGGACAUCCAAAAGCCCCUAGAGGAAGCAGAGAAAACCCCCGGUAGUACAUCAGGAUCAGGGGUGGUGGUUGAAGAGAAGAUCCCCCUUCAGACCAUGAGCCCUCCCCCCUCGUUUGGAACUUCAGUUGGGACCCCGCGACCAUCUUCAAGCCAGUUGGCAUUGGUACUUGCACAACACAGCCUCGAAGCCCCCAGUUCUUCAACGGCAAUGAGCAAAGAGCUUGAUGAGGAGAUUCAACAUAUCAUAGCACCACUAUCACAGCAAGUUGGAGAAGCCGAUGACUCUGUCAACGCCGUCAUGGACCUAUCCUUGCUGGAGUCUGUGGCGGCAAGCAUUAAGGAAAUGCGGAACCAGUACGGCCAGAAGUGGCAGGUACUGAAGGAGCAGCGCAAUUCCGCCAACCUCAUAGAUCAGAAGCUGAGAGACAAGGGGAGCGAAUUGCGCGAGUGGCAUGGCAAUCAGUUCCAAGUCCUCUUGCGGCAGCAAGAGACGAUUUCCAUGGUGAGGGAGGAUAUCGCUGCCCGAGAGGCCCGUCUGGCAGAGCGCAUAGCGCUCUUGAACGCCUAGGAGAAGGGCAUCUCUUCCCAAGAAGAGAACCUCGGGGCCACCCUUCACGGUAAGAACGAGGAACUGGAGACCCUUGUCUAGCAACGCACCAAAGAGCUGGAAGACAAGCACAAGGUGGCCCUCAAUGCACUCUACUGACCAUGCCGCUCAGCUGAAGAAGGCUACCGAUGACCUUGCUACGGUGUCCAUUGCCAAGGCAGACCUUGAUCAACAGGUGGCCAAACUGACAGAAGAUCUUGCCGGGAGUGUCAACGAGGUCGCGGCCCUCAAGGAGGAGGCGCAAAAAGCAGAGAUCCUCCUGAAGGAGGUGCAAUCACAGCUUUGCUCCAACAGCUAGAGCCUCGAGACUGCCAAUGGCACCAUUGAUGAUAUAUAGGCAAGGAUUGGCACUCUGGAGAGUGCGGCCGAGUCGGCCGGUGUUCGUGAGAAGUAGCUGAUGAAGGACUUGGAGAGUGCCAGGACCCUCCGGAAGGAUGCAGAGGAUAAGCUGGCUAACCAAUCCGAGCAGGUUGACCUUUGGAUCAAGGGCCUGGUCGACAUUUUCGAGCGCCUCUCUACCCAGGUCGCAAUGAUGGGCAUGGUGGGACCAGUCUUCUCGAUUGGCAGGCAUCAGGUCCCAAGCAUCAAGCUAGGGCUCUUCUUCAACAAGUUGAUCGAAGGGUUGAAGACCCAUGAAGAAGGAAGAGACGCCCUUUUUGAAAGCGAGUCUCGAAAGCUUGCCCGCAGCGCCCUCUUCAUGGUUUUGAGCAACCUCGCCCACCGCCACCCCAAACUCAACCUUGCUGACAGCUUCAGUAAGCUCCCGGCAGGUGCUGAUGUUUCUGCUGCCGAGGAGAAGGCUACCCCCUAUGCUGACAAGGUGCUCUCCGUUCCCAGGGCUCCAAAAGGCCGCCAAGCACGGCCUUGAACCAUUCACGUCGCUGUGAUGCCCUGUAACAAAACAUUAUGCAUGUCCUGUGUUUAGACGCCGUAGUUCUUUUAUUUGUGCCGAGCUGAUGUUUAAUUAAUUCCGAAGCAUGCUAUCCCCUUGUGUUUUAUCCGUGGAUGUUCGUAUGGUUAGUUUCUUUUUACGUGUUUUGGGUGCCUCCUAGCAACAUGCCGCCGCGAUUGUUGUGAGGAGCGGGUCCCUAGCAUUGGCUGGCGAGGACAUGUCCCGGAAAGUUUUUCCCUUAGGAAUCUUUGAUGCAGCCACCCGCUCCAUGAGCAGGCUCGGAGCAGAGCGGGGGCACAGACGAUCCAUCAAGAUGCCAUCACUCAAAAAGAUUUGUUCGUAUGAAACCCCUUGGUAUCUGGGGGAUAAGCAAAUGCAUACUCUGGAUCUAUAAAGGAGCAACAAUCACAUGGACUUAGCUUUCAUCCGUGCUUCCUUCCCCCCUCCAGCCACCGCCACUCGCCGCGUCCGCGUGCCUUGGGAGGAUGGCGUCUUGCGUAUUGCUUUCCGGCUCCCGGCAAGUGCCAUAAGGAAUCAUAUAUAUCUUAUGAGCGAUAGGACGUGAUGCAAGGCAGGACGGUUUCUCUCUCCUCCUCUUUACACUUUUUAACAAUCUUACAGCAGCUGGCAUAAAAGUCACGCCAACGCGGACGACCUUGCCGGAGCAUGCUUGCCGGGGCGUCAAUCAACGGAUUCGCACCGGCGCUCUACUCAUGAUUCCCCUUAGCAGGGCAAAUGCUGGACCGAGUUUUGCACGGGGUCAUCAACGUUGAUGACACUAAACCCAGUGUAGCUCGAUCGUUGAUAAGUGAAAGUGGCGGAGAAAGGGACCAUGUACCUUAUCACCUUGCCCCUUCUUCCAAACUAGGUUCGUACGGUGACCGUGCUGUCUGAACCGUUUGGGGUUGUCGUGCCGCUGUCAUUUCUUGCCUCCGCCGUAGCUGCAGCCACGGCGCAUAAUGAUGAUGGGAACUGGACAGGGCGGACGAAGGAACGAGGUCGCUUCCUUCUCGACCCGCUGUGCCGCGUCCUUUCUCGGCGUUGUGGAUGAUGAAGUCGUCGAUGAAGAAAAUGAUGAUGAAGAUUACGUGCUGCUCACGCCCUCGGGUUCGCGCAAGCGCCUAUUCCCUACCUGGUGCGCCAAAGAUGUCAUGGUUCAACAUGGCCACCUAUGGGGCCAUCGGCCCCUUGUGGUUCAGAAAGGGGGAAGGGCGCGUUGCACAAAGAGCGGAGACCGUAGAGCAGCAUGGCGGCGAUGACACAGGCAGUUUUACCCAGGUUCGGGACCGCGAGGCGUCAAACCCUACUCCUGCUUUGGUGGAUUGAUGAGAGGACCGUGGUGACGAAGCAACGCUCAAGCCCAGCAAGAUCGCCUCAGGACGAGAGCAGCUACGCGCGCAUGAGUGUACAAGGGUCCGAAUCCUUUAUAAGGUUGCCAUGAUCCUCCUUUUAUAGGUCAAGGGGUUACCACAAUGGCAAAACAGUCAUUAUCCUGUGAUUAGAUAGCCACAAUGCUAUCAUACCUAACUAUGCAGAUAGGACAAGGCGCAUUAAAUGUGCCGCUUAGUGUCACGUCAUUGAGGCGGUCCGGCAAGCCUUGUCGUGCUCUUCUUCCACCUCCUCGCCUGCCUACAUGACACACCUGUGGACGGGUGUCACUUAGGGGUGACUUUCCUCAGAAGUGGCCGCGACGUGCCAAAUGACAACCACCUAAUCACUUGGGGGCUUGACACUGCAUUGAUAAGUGACUUGCAUCGCUAUGAGGUGGAGCGGUGGAGCCAUGGCGGGGUAAUCCGCCCUUGGCAUCCCCGGCAAGCCUGCCGGGGGAGUCUUGAGACUUGUUUUCGGCGCGACCUCGACCCUACCAGGCUCGCCUGCCCGGCAAAGGAGGUUUUUCCCUUAGUGAUAUCUUGCUUCCUUGGCUUGUGUCGUGGUUUUGUCACGGCAGAUGUCCUAGAGAAAGGACUUAGUCGUGGAGCCAUCGCUACGGGUUAACUUAAAGGGGUUAAAGCGGACAAGGGACGCAAUAGAGUUUUAUACUAGUUUGGCCCCUUACGAUGAAGGUAAAAGUCUACGUCUAGUUGUGAUGGAAUUGCUGGGGUUUCGAUGACCACUGAGCGAAUACGCUUUGCCUGAGUCUCGAGUUGUUGUCUGUUGUCCUUGAACCGCCGCCGGGUCGUCCCCUUAUAUACAUGGGUUGACGCCCGUCGGUUUACAGAAUCCCGAGGCCGGCUCAUAAUCGUGUCCGGCUCGAUCUCUGCUACUUCUAUCUUACAACACAAGUUUACAUAUCAAUGCCGAUUUAUGUCUACAGGCCUUAAACCAGCUUUGGGCCCUGGGCCUUCACAAAGCAUCACCGUCUGUCUUCAUGGACUUUAGAUACAGAUGAACUACUUAUGGGGUUAACCCGGCCUCUCCUGUCCGGUUUACGCCCAGUGGUAAUAUCCCCAACAUUAGGCCCCAUAUUGAUUUGAACUGGUUCAUGUCAAUCCUCAAUACUUAAGAAAAUUUCUUCUUCAACAUCUUCACAUAAUCUUGUAAACCGCCGUGACAUCAUCUUCUAGGACCAUGGUAAACCGCCGUGACGUCACCUGUCAUUAAUGAGCCUCCGAUAAUCGAGGCGACAGCUCCGCCUCAUAUCCAAAAUUUAGGCUCCUCGAUUUUCGCGUCUGACGCUUAUCUUUCUACCCUUAUAAAUAGGGCCAGGAGGUCUUUCCAUUUCCCUCCUCGUGCCUCUUCGCGUCGUCAUCUUCCUCGUGCCGACUGACCCUCAAGCUCUGCUGCCGCCGUCGUCCUUCGCCUCUGCUUCGACAAAGGCCGCUGCAUCAACCUGAUCAUAUCAGAGAAAAGCGGUGAUCCUCCGCUGCUUCCUCCUGCACCAGUAAGUCCCUCUUCUUCUCGCCCUAGAUCCGCCAUUAGGGUUCGGUGUUCUUUGUAGCUUGAAGCUGUUCUUCCUUUGGUAGCGCCAAUGGCCGAUUAGAUCUGACUAUUUUCAACGCCUUUUGUAGUUUAGACUCCUUUCUUUUGUUAAGGCACCUGCUUGAUAUCCAACUCAUCUCAUCUUGGUGAACCUUUAGCACGCUGCAAAUUAGGUCAGAAUAUAUUUUGCUUUUCCAACGCGCGGUAGAUCUGAAAUUACCAUAGCAAGAUGUGAAACUUGUUUCUUCCUUCACUUACACACUUUGAAUACCAGAUUGGGCGGUUUAACUUCAUAGAAAAAAUGACGACCCGGUAGAUACCAUUAGUCCCCUGUUGAACCGCCAAUGCAUUACACCGUUUCCAUUGUCAAACUCUGGUUUACGAAUAACCAAAUCCGGUUUAUCAAUAUGCUUGUAUCCUUAUAUUGUUGUAAAGUUGUCCACUGUAAACUUUAAACCGGCAAUAAUCACGUUUCAGAUCUUUCAUUGCCAUGGCCAAGCAAGUCUAUGAAUGCAACUGGGCUCCUUCUCGAGUAACCGAAGAACAAUUAAACAAUCUUGUUAAAACGGGCGCUUUAGCCAAGAAAGAUGUCAUCCACUGGAGGGUCCCUGGCCCGGAAAAUCCUCCUACACCCAAGGAUGGAGAGGUAGUCGUGUUUGCUGAUCAUCUCGGACGAGGUUUUAGCCCUCCCGGUUCAAAAUUUUUCCGAGAUGUACUAGCCAAUUUUCAGCUGCGCCCUCAAGACAUCGGUCCCAAUUCUGUGACCAACAUCUGCCACUUCCAAGUCUUCUGUGAGGUUUAUCUGCAAGAGGAACCUACAGUCGAACUGUUUAGGGAUUUCUUUCACUGAAACUGUCGCACAGAGUUCUCGGAUGGACCCAAUACGGAACUGGGCGGAAUGGCGGUUCAAAAAAGGAAAGAAGUCACCUUCCCUCAUCCCAAACUCCACAGUCACCUGAAAUAGUGGAACUAGACUUGGUUUUAUUGCAUGGAUACAUCUCCACCUGAUGAAAAUCCCCUGCCGGGUUACCGCCCUGAACGCCUGAGCAACACACAUCCUUUUCCUUAGAGGUUGACUGCAAGAGAAAGGGCCAACCAUGCUCCUCAAUUAUCAAAGCUUAGAGCCUUCAUGGCAAACGGUUUGACAGGAGUUGAUCUUGCUCGUUGUUGGAUAAGCUAGAGUAUUCUGCCCUUAAGCCGGCGCUCCGGUUUGAUGUGUGAGUAUACGGGGAGUUUGAAGGAUGCUCAGCGGCACAUGGACAUUCAGCUUAUAGAUGCAGAAGUCACUGAGGCUGUAAAAAAGAUACUGAACGAACCGGAGGCUGUCUGUGCCCAAACCGGACCACUCCCUUUCUGCACCUUCAACAAACCACCAGCUGUAAGAAUCAUAUAAUCUUUUUAUCUGAAGUUGCUUUUGUCCAAAUAUUCUCUGAAAGUGUGAUUAUUUUCUGACAGGGUGAUGAUCCGUUCUGGAACAAGAAACCAUCACAAGACAAACCGAUGAAGCCGCAUGACAAACUGGUCAAGCCAGUUCGUCCAAAGACCAAGGUUGUUAAAAAACCUGCCAAGAAAAGAACCACUGCAUCCUCCGAUCUACCAGCUGAUGACGAUGUGGGUAAUCCGGAACCAGAGGUAGAACUUGACUCUCUUGGUUCAUUUUUCGUACACCUCAUUGACAAUGAUUAUUAUCAGGACGAUGCUGAAGGCAGUCAUGCUGAUGAUGUAGAGGUAAUCAUUCUUUCCUCCGAUUCAGAUCCUCUGCCGACAUCAAAAAUCCGUCGAGCAAACCGGAAAGUAAAAUUUUCUCAUCCCCUUGCUUACUUGGACCCAAUCUUUCUUUUGAAGACACAGCAGCACGAGGCUCGCCGCACAACCCGACACAACGGCCAGGUAGUUACCUCCGCCGGUUUACCGAACAGUCCGGUUCGGAAACGCCGAUCAGAGGUCUCUUAUCCCAUUGAUACUUCAUGCCCUAAAGCAGGUUGAUUUCCGCCAGCCUCUUAACCCGUCUGAUUCAAAUUAUCAGGGUACUUCUCACUCAUCUUCUGGUGAGUCAUCGGCCACACAGCUUCCACCCCUCAAAAUAGUUUCUGGGUGAGCUAUGCACGUGUCUUUAUUCUUGAUGUGUUAUCUUUACAUACUGUACUGAUCCUCAUGUCUAUCUUUUCUCAGCACCAAGCCGAGACCCAGCAAGAAGGCUCGGUUAAGCAAAUCGGCUGAUGAUAACGUAGCUGUUAAACCAGAAAAAACUCCAGAUCCGGAAAAACCGACGCUGACUCCAUGCUUAAUGAUCCGCCGCCUCAAGACCAUGACUUCCUUGCCGAACAAGUGCGAGUUGACACUACAAGCCAUGCGGACCAGCCAACCAGCCCUGUCCGAACUAAUGACAAACCGGUCAGUCCAGUUAAGGAUACUGACAAACCGCCAACUCCAGUGAAGGCUGUUGAUGAUAAGGACGACGACAUUAUGAUUACUGGCACUGGUCACACCACUCCUGGCAAUCCUGUCGCUUUGUCAAAGCAUACUGCCAAGGACGAGCUCUCUGCUAUCGGCAAAGGCAAAUGGAAUGCCGAGUUAUCAAGCUACGCCCAUCUCAAUGCUCAAGACAUUCACUCUGGCUUCUUGAACCGUCUGUAUACCAGCCGUGACUAUGAAGCUAGUUUGGUAAACUUGAUGAAGGAGCGAUAUGAGGUAACUUCAUAAGUGUUUCUCUCUUAUAUUUAAUUGCAGCUUAUCAACUCCAGUAGCCCCCAAGUGACGGUUUAAGAUACCAAUUUAAACCGGGACUUAGUAACAAUUUCAUGUUUGCAACAAUGCAUCUUAACUUCAUUGAUGUAGUCCCCAAGGGCCGGUUUAACUUUAUAAAGAUGAACCGGGACUUUGUAGAAGAAUUCCCAUAUCAGCAUUUUCUGAGCAAAUACACAUUAGCCCCCAAGUGCCAAGCUUAAUACUUGUAUUGUGCUUGGGACUUGUAAAAAUUUCUGAUAUGGAGCAAAUAUGCAUUAGCCCCCAAGUACUAAGGGCAUAACUUGUUAUGUGCUUGGUACUUCAAAUAUGUACUGUCAACUCAUUAUAUAUCUGUCUCUUUAUAGGCUGAACUGAGCAAGAAGGAAUCUCAAACCGCCGAUCUGCAAGAAAAUAUCAAGUCCCAACAGGCCGAAGCUUCCAAGGCAAAAGAUGAGCUGACGAGCGCCUUAGCCGCUAUGGAAAAACUAAAGGAGAGCUUCAACAAGGAGCGGGCGGAUUGGAACACAGAGAAAUCCGCUUUGCAGAAAAGUGCUGAAGACGCCGAAGCAGCUCUCAAACCGGUGGUAGACGAGCUGACUGGUGUAAAGCGGCAAGUACAUGCUAUGACCGCUGCCGUGUUUGGUAAGCAUCCUUGCUUUAUAAUUUUAACAUAUCUUCCCAUGUGUUGCUGGUUUACUGACGUUUAUAAGGAUGCAGGAACUCGUAUUAGCCAUCUGGGCUCUGACGUACAGAAGAAAUUGAAAGUGGACUAUACUCUGAUAGAGCAGUUGUACACCGGUGCGCAGCGGAUCAUCUGCACCGCUUCACACAAUAAACCUCCUCCAACAUUGAUCAAGGACACCUUAGAAAGGCUAUCCAUGCUGCCUACCUAGGUUGAAGAACGAAAGAAAGCUGCGGCAAGGGCCGGAGCUCUGACCGCUCUCACAUGUGCAAAGGCGUGGGUGCCUGAUCUUGAUCCGGUGGACGUGGCUAAAGGCUUCCCAAGCUUAAAAGAAGACGAAUCAGAAUUUGUCCAGGAGGAUCUCCGCGCCAUAAACUGGGAAGUACGUCCACUGGCUUGUCAAUUGGCUGAAGAAGCUGAUCUCUCAUACUAUCAGGCAAGUUAUGAUGACAAGAACAGACGGGUUGCUGCACCGAUUCUGGAAGCGCAAAAUCUGAUCCCUCCAAUCCGUAAGCACACUUAUGCCCCUGAUAUUGAACCGUCAACCCUUAUAAGCGAUGAAGCUGUGUUCCAAGCUUUAACUGGGAUCGACUGGACAACUGUUGACUUCCAGCCGCUAGGUAGAGACGAAGAAGAUGAUCCGCAGCCGUCAGGUCAAGCUGAUAAGCAAUCAUAAUCCGAGGGCCGGUUUAGUCUUCCACGUACUGCAAUGCUUAUUGAGAAACAAUUAUCCCUUUGGGCACUGAAACGCCUUGUAAUAGGCUAGUUAAAACACUUGGUCUGUUAUGCCUUCGUGCAUAUUUAUCUGCAACUGAUGCGUGUUAAUCCGCCAUGCUUUAAGAUAUGAUGUUCAUAAUCCAUAGCUAUUUAUUCAAGUUGUUCCUGCAGAUAAGAAGCUUAAAGCGCCCUGGCGGUUUACCACCGGGCGGGUCAUGAUACCCAAAUAUAUAUAUAUAACCACGGUUUAUAACCAAGGUUGUAAAAGAUAACCAAAUAUGGAAAUAUAUGAUACCUGGGACCUUUAGGCAUGAUGUUGGCUGACCAAUUUUGUAGUGAGGGCCAUAACCCUACUCUGGAGGAUAAGUAACUCCUGUUAUAUGAUACCGGUUUACAAUAAAACCGUCCCGGGUUGUGAUAAACACCGGCUUAUUCCAUACUGGUGACUUUGAGUCAAAACCAGACCGGGCUGAUAGUCUCCGGAUUAUAAUUUGAUCGUGUACUGACAACUUGUAGUUGACAGCCUAACCGGGUUGAUAAACACCGGUUUAAAAACAUCAUAAAUCUUAUGAAAACAAAGAAAACUUAGCAAAAGGCAAAUGAAAACCGUUGUAGUCGAGGCUUUUCACGGGCUGCCAGGCCCUAAAUUCGACAGCAAAGAAUCCCCAAGCAACAUUGUGAGCUGUGCUCAGUGGGUGCCUAUGUUUGAGCUGUUGUUUUACAACACUCUCUUUGGCUCCGGAUUGAUGUGGCUUUGAGCCGAUCAAGAGGUGUGACUGUGGUUCGGAUACGACCAAGCCCCCAAAUGAUGUUGUGGCAUUGCACCGAUCAAGAGGUGUAGCUAUGGUUCGGGUACGACCAAGCCCCCAAGUGAUGCUGUGGCAUUGCACCGAUCUAGAGGUGUAGCUAUGGUUCGUAUACGACCAAGCCCCCAAGUGAUGCUGUGUAAAGCUUAAAGAAGCUAAAUCAAGGGGUAAACCGGACGCCGCUUUGUAAGCUCCAUGUAACCACACAUGAUGUAAGAAAAACAACAGAUACCCCGCUUUAGCCGAGGUUCCGGUUUAUUAUAUUGAUCAUAAUAUAUACAUUGUCAUAAUAUGUACAUAAGCAGAGCCUAUAGCUCAAGUAUAGUAGGGCCGAAGAUGAGCAAUAUUCCACGGCCGUUUGGUCUCCUCCUCCGAUUUACGUGAGUCUUUGCGCUCUCGAACAUUGAUUAGAUAGUAUGACCCGUUGUGUAGAUUCUUGCUGACCACAAAGGGUCCUUCCCAAGGGGGGGAUAGCUUGUGCAUGUGCGUCUGAUCCUGGAUGAGUCGAAGCACCAAAUCGCCUUCUUGGAAGGUUCUGGUUCUAACCCGACGGCUAUGAUAACGACGCAGAUCUUGCUGAUAAAUCGCCGAACGGGCUGCCGCCAUGUCACGCUCUUCAUCUAACAGGUCAAGAGCUUCCUGCCAUGCCUUCUCAUUGUCAGCUUCAACAUAUGCCGCUACACGAGGCGAGUCAUGACAGAUGUCACUAGGAAGAACUGCUUCCGCUCCAUAAACCAUGAAAAAUGGUGUGUAUCCUGUCGAUCUGUUGGGUGUGGUAUUGAUGCUCCACAACACAGAAGGUAACUCCUCAACCCAACAACCCGGCGUCCGUUGCAAAGGAACCAUAAGCCGGGGUUUGAUGCCUCUCAAGAUCUCUUGAUUGGCCCUCUCCGCUUGACCAUUAGACUAUGGGUGAGCCACUGACGACACGUCAAGCCGGAUGUGCUCACGUUGACAGAACUCCUUCAUGGCACCUUUUGACAGAUUGGUACCAUUGUCUGUUAUAAUGCUGUGUGGAAAGCCGAACCGGAAAAUCACCUUUUUGAUGAAUUGAACCACCGUGGUUGCGUCACACUUACUAACUGGCUCUGCCUCCACCCACUUCGUGAACUUAUCAACCGCCACCAAAAGGUGGGUCUUCUUGUCCUUGGACCUCUUGAAAGGCCCAACCAUAUCCAGCCCCCAAGUUGCAAACGGCCAGGUGAUUGGAAUCAUCCUCAAUUCUUGAGCCGGUACAUGAGCGCGUCUUGAGAAUUUCUGACAGCCAUCACAUCUUUUGACCAAGUCCUCGGCAUCAGCAUGAGCUGUCAACCAAUAGAAACCGUGACGAAAUGCCUUGGCCACCAAAGAUUUUGAACCAGCAUGGUGACCACAAUCUCCUUCGUGGAUCUCACGCAAAAUUUCACGGCCUUCCUCAGGAGACACACAACGUUGAAACGCCCCUGUCACACUACAAUGAUGUAACUCUCCAUUGAUAAUAGUCAUGGACUUGGACCGCCGGAUUAUCUGCCUGGCCAGAGUUUCAUCCUCUGGUAACUCGCCCCGGUUCAUAUACGCCAGAUAUGGAACCGUCCAAUCCGGGAUAACAUGAAGGGCCGCCACCACCUGAGCCUCCGGAUCAGGAACAGCCAAAUCCUCUUCACCAGGGAGCUUGACGGACGGAUUAUGCAAAACAUUCAGGAAGACAUUAGGUGGAACCGGUUUACGUUGGGAACCCAGGUGACUUAGAGCGUCCGCCGCUUCAUUCUUCCGCCGGUCCACAUGAUCCACCUGAUAACCUUUAAAGUGACCUGCAACAAUAUCCACCUCACGACGAUAUGCUGCCAUUAGUGGGUCCUUGGAGUCCCAAGUGCUGGACACUUGUUGAGCCACCAGAUCCGAGUCACCGAAGCACUUAACUCGGCUUAGGUUCAUCUCCUUAGCCAUCCGAAGACCAUGGAGUAAAGCCUCAUAUUCAGCUGCAUUGUUAGUGCAAGGGAACAUCAAACGGAGAACAUAACAAAACUUAUCACCUCGUGGGGAAGUUAAUACGACUCCAGCCCCCGAGCCCUCCAAUUGCCUGGACCCAUCAAAAUGAAUAGUCCAAUAAGUAUGAUCCGGCUUCUCCUCUGGUGCUUGCAAUUCUGUCCAAUCAUUGAUGAAAUCCCCAAGUGCCUGAGAUUUGAUCGCCGUUCGGGGUAUGUAUUUCAACCCGUGAGGCCCGAGCUCGAUAGCCCACUUAGCAAUCCGACCAGUUGCUUCCCUGUUCUGGAUUAUAUCCCCCAAAGGAGCAGAGCUGACCACCAUGAUGGGAUGACCUUGGAAAUACUGCGUAAGCUUCUGGCUUGCCAUGAAAACCCCAUACACCAAUUUUUGCCAAUGCGGGUACCUCUGCUUGGACUCAAUAAGUACCUCACUGAUAUAGUAAACCGGCCGCUGAACCGGAUAUUCCUUUCCUGCCUCCUUGCGCUCCACCACAAUAGCCACACUAACAGCCCGAGCGUUAGCUGCCACAUAUAGCAACAAUGGUUCUUUGUCAACCGGAGCAGCGAGAAUCGGCGGAUUAGCUAGCUGCCGCUUUAAGUCCUCAAAUGCUUCAUUAGCGGCGUCACUUCAGACGAAGUUAUCCAUGUUCUUCAGCAUCUGAUACAAAGGGAUGGCCUUCUCGCCAAGGCGACUGACAAACUGGCUCAACGCGGCAAUCCGGCCUGCCAGGCGUUGAACAUCAUUGAUACACUUCAGUUUAGCCAAGGAGGUGAUGGCUUUGAUCUUUUCCGGAUUAGCUUCAAUGCCCCUGUUAGACACCAAAAAGCCCCAAGAGCUUGCCUGCAGGUACACCAAAGACACACUUGGCCGGAUUAAGCAUCAUUUUAUAAACCCGCAGGUUAUCAAAGGUUUCCUUCAAGUCAUCAAUCAAUGUCUCCUUCUUCCUUGAUUUUACCACAAUAUCAUCCACAUAGGCGUGAACAUUGCGGUCGAUCUGUUUAUGAAGACAAUUCUGCACACACCGUUGAUAAGUCGCCUGGGCACUCUUGAGCCCAAAGGGCAUGGACACAUAGCAGAAGGCUCCAAAGGGAGUUAUGAAGGUUGUCUUCUCCUGGUCCUUAACUGCCAUUUUGUUCUGAUGAUAACCAAAAUAUGCAUCCAAAAAGCUUAAACGCUCACAACCCGCCGUAGCAUCAAUAAUUUGAUCAAUACGGGGAAGGGCAAAAGGAUCUGCUGGACAAGCUUUGUUGAGAUCUGUGUAGUCCACACACAUACGCCAAGUGCCGUUCUUUUUAAGGACCAGCACCGGAUUAGCCAACCACUCAGGAUGGAAUACUUCAAUGAUAAAUCCAGCUGCCAAGAGCCUGGCUACUUCUUCUCCAAUAGCUUUGCGUCUUUCUUCAUUGAACCGACGGAGAAACUGCUUGACCGGUUUAUACUUGGGAUCAACAUUGAGAGUGUGCUCAGCGAGUUCUCUCAGUACACCAGGCAUGUCAGAAGGCUUCCAUGCAAAUAUGUCCCGAUUCUCAUGGAUGAACUCGAUGAGCGCGCUUUCCUAUUUCGGAUCCAAGUUAGCGCUAAUGCUAAACUGCUUGGACGAAUCGCCAGGCACGAAGUCAACAAACUUAGUCUCAUCAGCCGAUUUAAACUUCAGGGCCGGAUCAUGCUCUGUAGUUGGUUUCUUCAACGAAGUCAUAUAUGCCGGAUCAACAUUGUCCUUGUAAAACUUCAACUCUUCUGUUGCACAAACCGACUUAGCAUAAGCCGCAUCACCUUCUUCACACUCCAGAGCAAUCCUGCGGCUCCCAUGCACGGUUAUAGUUCCCUUGUGACCCGGCAUCUUGAGCUGCAGAUAGACAUAACAAGGCCGUGCCAUAAACUUAGCAUAAGCCGGCCGUCCAAAUAGGGCAUGAUACGGGCUUUUGAUUUUCACCACUUCAAAGGUCAAAGUUUCUGAUUUUGAGUCAUGCUCAUCUCCAAAAGCCACCUCCAGAGCUAUCUUACCAAUAGGAUACGCCGAUUUACCAGGCACCACACCAUGGAACACCGUGUUGGACGGUUUAAGAUUUUUAUCUGUUAACCCCAUGCGACGAAAAGUUUCAUGAUAAAGGAUAUUGAUACUACUCCCUCCGUCCAUGAGUACCUUGGUGAACUUAUAGCCUCCCACCCGAGGUGCCACCACCAACGCCAGAUGACCCGGAUUAUCAAUCCGGGGUGGAUGAUCCUCUCGACUCCACACAAUAGGCUGUUCACACCAGCGUAAGUAUCGGGGGACCGCCGGUUCAACGGCAUUCACCGCCCUUUUACGAAGCUUCUGAUUGCGCCUGUCCAAGCUAGUGGUGAAGACAUGAUACUGUCCACUAUUCAACUACUUCGGGUUGCUCCGGUAACCCGACUGCUGCUGCUGCUGCUGCUGAUUGCCCUGAUGAUUAUAUCCACCUUGGUUACCCUGAUUACUUUGAUUAUUAUGUCCACCCUGAUUACCGUGGAAGCCUGAACCGGAAUUUCCUCCGCCAUAACCCGACCCAUGAGAGCCGGGGCCCGAACCGCCUCCUGGUCCAUGAUCAUACCGGAAAGAAUCGGAAUUUUUGAACUCUUGCAUGAUGUAACAAUCUUUCCAGAGGUGCGUGGACGGGUCCUCCUUCGUCCCAUGCUUUGGACAGGGCUGGUUCAACAGAUAAGACAAACGGUCCGGAUUAGGACUUGGCCUUCCACCGCGCUGGGGCGGUUUACCAUUACGCCGCCGGCCCUUGUCAUGUGUAUUAGUAUUAGCCACAAAGUCUAAACCGUGGUCCGCCUUACGCUUGCCGCCGUUUCCAUGACCCGCCGGGUUGUGGUGCUGCCCCUUGGCGUUGCCGCUCUUCUUUCCCUUCCCUGUCUUAUCAUUGUCAGACUCGGGAUCCUUGGUACUAUCAGAGUCGGCAUACUUCACCAGUGCAGCCAUGAGGGUUCCCAUGUCAUUACAAUGACGUUUGAGCCGUCCCAACUUCAACUUCAGGGGUUCAAACCGGCAAUUGCCUUCCAAUGUUAAAACUGCGGUGUCAGAGUUGAUGCGGUCCGAUGAAUGCAAAAUCUCUGAAACCCGGCGCACCCAAUGGGUUGUUGACUCUCCUUCCUCCUGGACACAGGCAGCUAAGUCCACAAUUGACACGGGCUGCUUGCAUGUAUCCUUGAAAUUCUGAAUAAACCGGGCUCUCAACUCGGGCCAUGACCUGAUAGAAUUAGCCGGUAAGCUCUUUAACCAAGUGCGGGUUGUCCCUUCUAGCAUCAUGGUGAAGUAUUUCGCACAUGCCGCAUCAUCCACAUCCAGCAUCUCCAUGGCCAUCUCAUCGCUUUCGACCCAUGUUUCAGGGGAUAAAUCGGCGGUGUAAUUCGGCACCUUGCGCGGGCCCUUGAAAUCCUUGGGCAGGCGCACAUUGCGUAACGCCGGGACGAGACAUGACACUCCCAAAGAACUAGAGGUAACUCCUGGUUCCACCGAUGUGGUUGGACGAACCGGAGUAAGCUGACGUGCUUCAUGCUGCGUCGCUAACUCGGCCUCUCUGCGUGCCCGAGCCUGGCCACCACCUCCUGAGCAUCACCAGCACCACCCGCCGGGUUAUUGCCACGGGGCGGAUCACGGUUCCGCGCAUUGCUUGACACUGCCGGUUCAUCCAUACGCCCGCUGUAACUCCGGCUUGGGCAGGGAGUGGAAUGAAUCCGAUCGCGACUAUAUGAAUAAGCCUCCUGUUGAACCAAGGCUGUCUGAAGAAGCUCCUUAACCCGACGCGUCUCGACCGCCGCCGGAGAAUCGCCUUCGAUCGGGAUGGCCGCCAGCCGUGAAGCGGCAGCGACAAUAUUGUCCAUCGGGUUAGAAUAAUGACCCGGUGGCGUGGGGACAUGCGGUGCUACAAUGUUGUUCUGACGAGGCGGGUCCACCAAACAUGGCUGAACCGUCGCUCCUGCUCCAGGUGCCUCCGUCUGGUUUACCACCGGCGGAUUACUGGUCCCUGCUCCUGGGGUGUUAAAGAGAUUUCUAGCGUCAUAAACUGGCGGCAGGCGAGAUCGGUGCCUCCUCUUCAGGACUUCGUUCGACGCACUCUGAUCCAGCAUAAUCCGGUAAGCUUGUGCAUCCAAAGCGGCCCGCUCCGCGGCUAUCCUGGUAUCCUCAGCUGCUAAGUCUGCUUUGGCCUGGGUGAUCUGAUCUUUCACUUUCGCGAUUUCCGCAUUGUGCGCAUCCUGAUCCGCCAGGUUAACCUCCGCCAUCAGCGUUGCCAACGCGUCAAACAAAUCAGAUAGAACCUGAGCUGGCGGUCGCACAGGGCCUCCUGCCCCGGCCGCUGUUGCCGCUGCCGAUCCAGAAAUCAUCGCCGCUGUGGUCGAAGAGUGGAGCACCGGUUGCGUACCGGCCAUGAAGAUCGCAACCCGGUUUGGCAGAUCAAAGGGGUCCGGAAUAUUGUCGCCAUCGGAACAGCCCCCAAUCCGGCCAUCUUGUAACUGAUAUAACGACUCGGUCUCUCCGGUCGAUGACUCGUCGCCAGAAUAAACGACGUUCUCACCACCAGAUUCCGAUCUAUCCUCAGAUUCCCCUCCAUGGAUAACUCCCACGAAGGCACACAUCAUGACAGGCUUGACCCGGGCAGAUCUCGCACGCUGAGCCGUUUCGACGAGGUCGGUGCAGAUGUCCGGCUCAGGGCCCGGUUCGCCGAUCUUGCCAAUGAAAACGUGUAUGCCACCAAAGGGGACCCGGUACCCGUACUCGAUUGAGCCGGCCUCGGGGCCCCAGCGUGCAUCGUCGAUGUAGAGCUUGCCGCGACGACUCUUGGUCAUCCGGCCCACAGCGUAACCCUUGAGUCCUUCGAAGUUGCCCUCCAAGAACUUGAAACCAUCGUGCGAUAGCCCCACGGUGGGCGCCAACUGUCGUGGUUUUGUCACGACAGAUGUCCUAGAGAAAGGACUUAGUCGUGGAGCCAUCGCUACGGGUUAACUUAAAGGGGUUAAAGCGGACAAGGGGCAAUAGAGUUUUAUACUAGUUCGGCCCCUUACGAUGAAGGUAAAAGCCUACGUCUAGUUGUGAUGGAAUUGUUGGGGUUUCGAUGACCAGGGAGCGAAUACGCUUUGCCUGAGUCUCGAGUUGUUGUCUGUUGUCCUUGAACCGCCGCCGGGUCAUCCCCUUAUAUACAUGGAUUGACGCCCGUCGGUUUACAGAAUCCCGAGGCCGGCUCAUAAUCAUGUCCGGCUCGGUCUCUGCUACUUCUAUCUUACAACACAAGUUUACAUAUCAAUGCCGGUUUAUGUCUAUAGGCCUUAAACCGGCUUUGGGCCCUGGGCCUUCACAAAGCGUCACCGUCUGUCUUCAUGGACUUCAGAUACAGAUGAACUACUUAUAGGGUUAACCCGGCCUCUCCUGUCCGGUUUACGCCCAGUGGUAAUAUCCCCAAUAGCUUGUCUUGGUCUUCUUGAUCCACCUUAAAGAGCUAUAUCUUCAGCUUGGCCUUGUCUUGGAUGCUUGGUAAGUUUGCUUCAUUGUUGUUGUGCCGGAGACUUUCUUGUCCAGGCAGAAGUCAGGGGAAACAUAUACCCCUGUUUGUGUACCCAACACAUGGAGCCAAGCAACUUGCACAAACACUCCAAAACACCUCACAUAUUUCCAGUCAAGCAAAACCUCUAGGUUUCUUUUCGAGGGUAUUGACCCUGAGGCUAAGUGAUGUAUAGAAGUUGCCAUGGCUUAAUAUAAACCCAAAUAAUUCAUCUAAAUUAAAGGGAAUGCUCCAAUUUCUGUCUUUUAACUAACGGUUACUUAGACUCUGGGUUGUGGUAGUGGUACGAUCGGGUUCACCUGGUUAAUCUUAAUAACCGCACGGCUCUGGUGCGCCAUGGUCGACCCGGCACGACGAUUUUUUUAUUAAUAGUAAAUGAUAAUUCUGUGAUUCCGAAACUGGUAAAGGGCCGGUGAAAAUUAUAAAAAUAGGAAGGACGCUAGGAAUAACGGCGUUCAGGAUGGACUCCAUUGCUAACUGCGUCCAGAUCUGGACGCUAGUACGGAUGGCGUCCAGGUCUGAACUCUAGUACGGAUGGCGUCCAGUCAUUGCCCUUUCAUUGGUGCUCUGAUUGGGCUCAACCGAGUCGUUUUACUUUGAUAGAUAGAGAUUUCAUGACCUAUAUACUCUAAUACGAUCUGCAGCCAUCGCUUCUUACCUUGCUAGGUGGUAAGCAAGCUCUAGCACGGACAUCAUCAAUCAUCACAGGAGCAACAUCAUCUCACUAGCUGCUUGUCAUUAGGAUCAUUCACUCAUCAUUAGGAUCAUUCACUCAUCAUUAGGAUCAUCCACUAGACCUAUGGUUGGAGCAUGUGAGUUGUUCCAUGGCCUCGUUGAAUCUUCUUUGUUUGGUCUUGUGUACAAUUUACUCAAUGGUUACAAGCGUACAUUAUAUAUGUGACUAGGUUGUUACUUUUGGUCAAUACAAUUGGUAACUUGCUAGUUUAUGAUAACAGAUAAGUCGAUCUUGAGUCGGUUGUCGUGCUUUUGCCUCUAUGUGUCAGUGCACCACUGCCGGCACUUUUGGAAGCAUGGUGUGCCGGUGUCGUAGCCCAACGUGAACCUGCCGCACGGGUGGCAUCUCAACCUCGAUAGGGUUCUGGUGCCGACCGUGCCGGACUCAGGCCGCACGCAGCUGAUGGAGAUCCACCAUCAUCGUGUCUACUCCCGGACGACCAUCGCCGCGACCCAUCGUCCACGAUGGAUUCGCCGAACUAGGACGCGUAGUUCGCCACUGAGCAUGACUAGCGUUGUCGGUCGUGCUUCAAGGAUGCGUCCCGUGCACCACGCGCGCUCGCUGGUCCACCAUCGCCAUCGGUCAUGGUGAAGGGGCGAGGAUUAGGAGUCCUACAUUGUGGCCCUCGAGGAGGCCACAAUGAGGUCCAUUGAGGAGGCCGAGCGCAAGGAGCUCGCCAAGUGGCCUAGCCUUGCACACACACAGGUUGAAUCGGCGGCUAGAGUGGAGGCUAACAUGCCCCCACCGCCACCAGCACCGCUCGCGCCCGAGCCUAUGGAGGAGGAGCCAUGGCCGCUGCUUGGGCAAUCAUGGUCGUGGAUGAACACGUUGCCAUCGUAUAUCAUGCACGCCCAUGCGGGUGGGCAUGAUAGACGAGGAGGCCGAGCGGCAGGAGAAGCAUCAGUUGGUGGCGCAGCAAGCGGCUAUGCUACCAGCCAUCCAGCAGGCGUUUCCGUGGAUGGAGACGCCAGUCUACGUCGACCUGGCCAAGGAGGAGGAGGAAAAUGACGAUGCCUAGAUCUACUGCCCGCCGCUAACUGUUUCUGUUAUCUUUUCAUUUACUUUUUAGUUUUAAUUAAUGUAAAUUGGACUUCUGCUGGCUGUUUUAUUUAAAAAAAUUGAAAUCCAGCGCAAAUGUGAAAUAUGUUCGUCCGUGUUGCUCGCAUCUUCGGACCGGCGGACAAAAACGGAAAUUGACAUCCGGCUGACCUAUCCAAAUGAACAAAGAACGAACAAAAUCUGCGUCAAUUUCGGUUGCCGCGUCGGAGUUGCCCUUAGGUCGGACGAAGGCGAGGACUUUUUUGGGCUAGGUUGAACCAAACAACGGACGCUGCUAAGAAUAGCGUCCAGGUGUGGACGUGGUUUGCAACAGCGACCAGGUCUGGACGCUAGUAUUGAUGGCGUCCUUUCUAUUUUUGAAAUUCUAACUUAUUAUUACUAGUUUCAGAAUUACAGCAUUAUUAUUUAUCAUUAAUAAAAAACCCGGCCCGGCACGGCCUAUGAGGGUCAUUGGCCCCUGUCCGGGUUUGUCUGGUCGCGCGAAACGGAUAUGCCAGGGCAACUGCCUCGGCGUGCUCGUACCUAGAUUAUAUACAUGUGGUUGAAAGGGGCUUGUCUUUUUGUCUAUGCUUACAUACGCUCGGGUCAGCCUGUUGCACGGAUAGGCGCAACAUGGCACUUCUAGGAGAUGUUUGGUUCACAUCCUAGACAGGGUGCCUGACAAAAUUGAGUGCGUGACAUGAGCCUGAGGUGUUGCAAUUUUCUGACUAGUUAGGCAGGAUUCCUAGACUGUUGGUUCGUGGCCUGGCCUGCUGGGUAUUAAAUAUGUUUAUCAUGCCACUGUACUCUCUGCCAUCCUUUUUAAUUUAGAAAAACAAGUUUAGCAUGUUAGGUAGCAACUCAGGCCUUUGAUUUCGGCCGCCUGAGCCAGGCUAACCACAUUCUCAGCUUAGGGCUAGGCUAAUGAUAUUAUGAUGUUCUUCGAGCCAGGCCAGCUUGAAAAUGCCAGGACACAAACCAAACAGACCAUAGGAAGAUCCCAGGGAAAUGUCAGGUCGGGCUAGUUUUCUUCAGCACAUGAACCAAACAACCCCUUACCCCGUCGUUGUCGGCCUAGACCCUUGAUGUCGCUGGGCCUGGCCGCAAAACCUCACUCCUCUCGAGAUUCUUUUCGGGUUGGUUGUGCUACCAGUCUGAGCUCCAUGAUGUGGUCCUAGGGCUUCGGUUUUGAUCUGGCUUUCCUCUAUCUUAGAUCCGACCACGAACCCCAACGCGAACCGGCCCGACAAACACACAGGGGUCAAGAUGGCAACGGGGACGGGGAUCNNNNNNNNNNNNNNNNNNNNNNNNNNNNNNNNNNNNNNNNNNNNNNNNNNNNNNNNNNNNNNNNNNNNNNNNNNNNNNNNNNNNNNNNNNNNNNNNNNNNNNNNNNNNNNNNNNNNNNNNNNNNNNNNNNNNNNNNNNNNNNNNNNNNNNNNNNNNNNNNNNNNNNNNNNNNNNNNUGCUAACAACGGGUACCCGAUCCCCAUGGAGACCAACAACAGCAAAACAGCAGUAAAAGAGGAGCAGAGAUCACAAUAUUUUUUGACAGAUUCAAUCAUCCCCAUUGAUAUGUGGACUGCUUUAGAAGAGAGAUGAUAUUCAUCUGUGGCGCAGAAUAUGCACACCAGUAUGUUGAAACAAAACAUAUAUAUUCCUUAAUGUCUUGGUGCCAGGGACCAUCAAUAAACCUUUCCUCGUGUCUUGCUGUUGCAUACAUCGAUACCAUAACCAACAUGUUCGAUUAUUUAUAUACACAUAGCGGACAUCAAACACCAGCAAACACUGAAGGUGAAAGGUCUGACUUGUUCAAUAUAGUGCAAUCUGUGACCUUAUACUAAGCGGAAGUUACUGGCAAACUCGCACAAGUCAAUUCUGAAUUUACAAAGUGACCCAAGGAAUAGCUAGAAUGAGUACAAAUGCAAUAUCCAGAUCACAACCACCAGCCAAGCCUCACAUAAUAAUAAUAAGGCAUGCGUACAUAAUAAGCUUCUGAAACUAAAAUGCAGAGAGAUCCACAACCACCCUUCUGAACAUCAAGCUACUGCUACUCCUAGUUACUACAGAAACAUCAAGCCACCCUUCUGAACAGCAAGAGAUGAAACAAACAACCUGCUGGUCAGCUGCUUGCGCUUGAGGUGGAGGAGGAGGAGGCAGGUCGCCGGUCUUCGUCGUCGCCGCCACUAUCACCGUCGCGGACUCGCGGUUAGCUUCUUGCCUGGCCGUCGCUCGCCAUCGUCACCAUGGCAGACUCGUGAGGAGGCGAGGAGGUGAACAGGAAGAGGCGGGGUCGCGAGGAGGCGAGGCCGCGAGGGGCAGGAGAGGGCAACGGG
rnacentral:lncRNA from 1 species